GACGACAAUGACAGAGACAGAGAUUGCAAAAUCAAAGUGCGUGUUUCACAGAAUUUGCAAGUUGAAGAUGAAGUUUGGAUUAAGAAAGGAUGUUGGAAUAAUAAUCUAAACUUAAUUAAAAUAUAAUUAGAGAUAAGUUUAAAUCUUUUAUUUGAUUAUGAUUAGGAUAUGUAAUUAUCCAAAGUAAAAUUGAAUUUAUCAUUUGUUAUGAUUUGAUGGCUAUAUAUAGUUCGGCAUGGAUUAAUUAGAUGAAAAAAAAAGCUACAGUAGAUAUGGCUACAUGGGUGUUGCCCAAAAUAUAAUUAAUCACCUUUUAUUAAUAAAGUAUUAGUUUAGUUAUCUUCUUCCUCCUCCAAUAUCUCUUCUCCAUAUUAUUUUGUUUUAUUUUUUAUCUUGGGUUAUAUAAUCGAUAUCAACACAAAUACCGGUUCCAACAAUUGGUAUCAGAGCAAAUCACACUUCCAAUAUUUAGCUGCUUAAAUUUUUGAUGAAAAAAUAUAUUUACUAAAUAAUUAGUGUAAAAAAGCAUUACCCCUUUUUUUAUAUAAACUUAACUUCUAAUUAUUUUAUUUAUAUUAUUUCACUCAAAUAACUUUGAAAUUUAUUAAAUCUAAUAGUAAUUCAGUGAAUGAUUUAAUUUCUCCAUUUUUACUAAAUAUAAUUAUGACAAUUGAUGACUAUUAGACAGAACUAUUAACUUUAAUAUAAUCUUUAAUUUAAUUAAAUAAAAAAAGUUAUCUAAAAUAAAUAGAAAUUAUGAAGAUACUAAAUAAGAAAAAUAAAAAUAAACUCAAAGUUGAGAGAGCACUAUAUUAGCGCCUAAAACUUUUUCCAAAAACAAAUUAUUCAUCAUACUUUUAAAAUUAAAUAAAAAUAUAUUUUUAAAAUUUUUUAUAUAUAAAGAACUAUUAUGCAAAUUAUGCGCCAUAGCUCCCCUCAGCCCCCACAUUGCUCCGCCCUAAGAAUAUACAUAUAUUCUUGUUGUAUAGCUAGAGGAUAUGAACGCGCCAGAUAGGCAAAGAUAUUUUCAUCUCGUUGUUGAUGAAUUGCAUGCAGCUCGGAGUUGGUAGCGGAAAUUAUGAUUGUGGGCAUCUUUGGAUCUGGCCCUUGGUUUUAAUAAGCUGUCUGCUGAUGUAAUUAAAUAACUGGCCAAAAAUUGUAACAACAAAAUACAUACAAAAAGUGCCAAAACUUGUAUCUGAAGAUUUUGUACACUGCAGGGCUGGUUUUUGUUCUUAAGCUGUCUUUAGGCUCCUCCUCCCGAAGAAAAUUCUGCAUACUUAAAAAGUAAACUCCAUAUUUUUUUCCAUCUGAACUAUUUAGGAAUUGAAACAGCUGUGAUAACAUUGAUCAUUAAUUGGAUGGAUAAAGUGUAAUAUUUAUAUUCACUUUUGGAUAUACAUGUAACAUUGCUCCUAACCUCCUGAAGCCUAUGUUACAUAGGAAUAAUUUUAUAAGUAUCCUUCUAAACUUAAGAAAUAUUAAGAAUCUAUCAAAAGUUCAAAAUUUUACUAAUAUCAUCUUGUAUCUCGUUAACUGUUGGGGCACGUUUGUUAUAUAUGGUGUUAAAUUAAGGGAGUAAAUUAUUACUUUUGUAAGCUUUCACCUCAUGCUAACUAUGUCUAAGAUGUAAGGCAUAAAAGAUUAGCUAUGUCGAAGAAAGGAAAGGAGAAGGCGAUAGAAUAUCUGGUGGAGAAGAAGACACGAAAAAAGACAGUGGAUCCAUCACUCCGGAGACACUCGACGAAGGUGACGCCACCCCGCUGCCCUGCAUCAGGUGGUUCGGCAGCGGACCUGGAGUCGAGGUUCCAGAGCACCAUUCGGAAUUUGGGCAAUGGAGUUAAAGAGACCACCUACCUUCGAAAACCUGGCUCCGAAGGCUGCUCCUCUUCCAAGAAGGUUCUCUGGGCGGAUACAGCUAGGCUUGCAUUAACUCAGAUGGUUUGCUUCCUACCAAACGACUCCCUCCCUGACCCAGGGUCUUUUACUCCCUCCGAACCACGCCAUAAUGACAAGUGUAGGCCUGAGGUCAAGCCUCGGUCUGAUAGGCAUGCCUGGAGGAAACACACCACUCUUCCUUCAUUUAAGAAGACGUACAAGGAGGCCCUACUCACUCCCGCUUCGCCUCCUUAGCCCCAACCUAACUUUCCAUGGAGCCCUCCACCAUUUCUUUCGCACCUAGGCAGCUUCUCCUUCAAAGGCAGGUGCUUCAGGUGCUUAGGACGAUCUCACUGGGCCUCCCGCUGCUGAAAACCUAUUCGGUGCUUGAGGUGCUUCAAAUUAGGACAUAAAGCUCAAUACUGCAGGAAUCGUCUGCCGAUGAACGUCUACCGAGCCAUGCGCGACCAUCGUGCCUACCUUAGCGCUUUUGUCUCCCUUUUCGAUGACUUCUUCGCCUGUCAAAAUCGCUGCCACAACGCCAUUCUGAUCGAUGUGGUGCCCCCGGCGAACCUCGGACAUUUCCCCAAGGAAACUAUCGGCAACGGGCUCGCGAGUCGUUUCGGCGGGUUCCCAACCGAUUUCCACGUUGCUCGAAACAGUGAAAGAGACUUUGUGGUCUUUCUGCCAGAAUGGGUGCCGAGUAAACAUCUCCUUCGCAGGGAAGUACUUAGUCUGGGGGACCUCAGACUACGCUGCUUCCCAUGGAACCCCUACUACGGUGCACGACACCCACCGCUGUCCUACAAUGUUUGGAUCCGACUGGUCAGUCUACCCUACGAGUACUAGUCUUCCCAGACCGUGGCGGCCCUCGUCGGCGGCUUCAGCAGGUUCAUUCGGGCGGACGAUUUCAGCGUCUGCAUGGCUGACCUAUCUGGCUUAUGGUGCCUUAUCGCCGUGAAUCACCGCUUUGACAUUCCUGAGAAUUUAGAGAUUACCUUUGGUGAUUUGUCACUCUCAGUGCUUAUCCAGCUGGAAAGAUGGGCACGCCAUGAGGAUGACGGGCAUGGUAACCCCACCAACGAGCGGACGGAUCAGCAUGACCCACUCGCAAGGUCACCCGAACUUCACCGUCGCUCCGCUGGAACAGUCAAAAGGAGACGCUCGUCGGUUGGCGGCUCUUCCAGCUCUGAUGCGUCCUGGAACUCAUCUGAAAUUCGCGACAGAAGACGCGCAGCUCUCUCCUCUGAUUGCUCAGAUCAACGAAAUCAAUCCGCCCCCCUUGGUCACGUGGAAAAAACGAUGGGAGAGCUCUGUCUUCUUCUCUCUGGCGAAUGGCAGAGCGGGGGGCCGAACGACAAGUUUUUCAAUUUCAAACCUACCUUGUGGUGGACUUGCUAUUUCCGUGCUACCUGACGCCGAGGACGGCCGAAGUACCGGCCUGUCAGGCGGCUACACCCACUUCGUGCUUUCCUUGAAGGCCUUUUGCCCUCCUGCUGCCAUCAAUUCUCCCUUACUUAAGACAGGAAGCUCUGUGUCCAGCCCUCGGCUUUCACACCUAGCUUUGCAACUAGCUAAGGUUGAGCAGAAGGGCUUUUAUGAGUUUUUCAACGUUAGGAACAACUGUUGGAGCAUUUAUUUGGGGAUUUGCUCAUCUUCCUUGGUCCUUUCCCGUUCUUCCUCUGGACUGGAUCCAGCUGCCCUCACGUUCGCAUCUAACCCAUCCAGCUUGUGGUGGACCCUCACUUACUCAAUUCCUAGGCCUGUUAGUUCCGAAAUUGGGCCUGUUCUUCCCGCCCAAUCUCUUUGCGGUGAAUUGGCCCCUCCCGAUCAUUUAGGCCUUGGGCCUACCAACGGUCUGGGCUCUGCUUCUCUCAAGCUAGAUUUUGGAGGAGUACUCCUCUUCACCGCGGAGUCUCCUACACCGUUCGGCGCUUCUCCCUUUGCUACGGAUAUCACCAUCCCUGCCAGUGCUAUGACUAAAACCACCAAUUCUCCUUGUGUUCCGAUGGACCCGCCUAGAUCAAGCGCCCGACUUCACAAUCUGACAAAGGACUCUAUGCUAGGAAAGGCUAUGAGCAAGAAAACGUGUCUUCUCGAGGGAAGGACUACCAGAUCUGGGACCUCAGGGCGCAAGUUGACCAGCAAAAAAGUCAAGAAGAAGAGUCUACUUUGCGAGGUGAAGCUCUAUGACACCGAAGCUAAGGAGCUCCACAAGUUCCUUUGCGCGGAAGCCUAGAUGUCGGGCGACUUUCGUGUUCGUGCAGCCUUUUGUGUGUGUCGUCUUUCACUGAUGUUUAACAUUUUAUGUUGGAAUGUUCGUGCUCUUAACGACCCUGCUAAGCGUCGUUGCGUCAAGUCUGUCGUGCCUAACCUCUUUUCUACUGUGGUUUGUAUCCAAGAAUCUAAAGUGGAUUCCGUGUCCUGUUCUUUCCUCCGCUCUUGUUGCGGAUCAAGCUUCGACAGGUAUCACUUUAUUCCAACGACUAGGGCCUCCAGCAGUUUAAUCACUUGUUGGAGCUCUAAGCUUUUUUCUUGUAAGGAGGUGGUAGUAUGCGAGCACUCGCUCACCCAUAACCUACCUUACCUCACUAGCGGGAAGAUUUUCUUCCUCUCGAACGUUUACGGGCCUCCCACCUGGGAUGGAAAAGAAGACUUCUGUUCUGAACUUCUCUCUCUUAACAGGAUCUGCUCCAGCAAUUGGGUCAUCUGCGGAGAUUUCAACUUCACCAAAAACCAAGCGGAAAGAAAAGGAAACCCUUGGAGUACUAAAGCUAUGGCCAUGUUCUCUGAUCUCAUUAGUAACCUAGCGGUCAUCGAUUUACCCAUAUCUAACCAAAACUUCACUUGGUCGAACAUGCAACGCAGACCCACCCUGGCAAAGCUCGACAGAUUUCUUACCUCAACGGCACGGGACCAAUCUUUUCCUCACAGCAAGGUCAAACUCUCCCUCGGACCACUUCUGACCAUACCCUAAUCGUUCUUUCUACGGGGUCCCAUCCCACAUCACGGACGUUUCGGUUCGAGCAAGUCUGGCUCACAAAGGAGGAUUUUAUCACAAAAGUACCACUUUGGUGGAACGAAGUCAUUCCUAAGAAAUCGGCCAUUCUAACUUUAACUGCUAAGCUCAGGCACUGCAGAGCUAUGAUAAAGGAAUGGUGCAAGACAAAUUUCCAUAGCAUAUCUAAUGCCAAGAGGCUUCUGCGGGAAAAACUUCAAAAAAUUGAUCAUUUAAAGGAACGGACUAACCUACUUCAGGAAACUUUGGAUAAACGGGCUGACCUAAAAUCACAACUUCAACUCAUCUUAAAGGAAGAAAUUCCCUAUAAAACUAGGGUUAAACAGCUCUGGUGCAAGGAAGGCGACAGUAACACUAUAUUUUUCCAUGCGGUGGCCAAUGGACGAAGGCGCAAGAACAUGAUUGAAGUCAUUGAAGACGACUCUGGACGGAAAAUCUUUAAUGAAGAACGUAAGAGACCUUUCUUUUUUCACACUUUUAAACUAUUGAUGGGCUAGGCGGAUGACUGCCUACCGUCUUUUGGAGAUUGGAGCGGCCUAUAUCACUCUAACAAAUUGGCCAACCCCGCUACCCUAACGAGCCAGUUUAAUCGAGAGGAAGUCAAGAUUGCCCCCUUCCAACUAGGCAGUGAUAAGGCCCCCGGACCAGAUGGUUUUCUUCUUAUUUUCUUCCAAACCUUCUGGGAGACGGUCAAGGAAGAUAUAUUCAACGUUUUUAUUGAUCUCUAGGAUGUCGACAACCUAUUUACUGUUCCGACUGACUACUCAUUUGUGUGUCUCAUCCCCAAAAAGGAAGGAGCGUGCAUGGCUAACGACUUUCGGCUGAUCAGUCUCAUUAAUGGAAUUUAAAAAAUCAUCUCAAAAGUCGUUACCAAUAGACUUGCACUUAAUUUGCCGACUAUUAUCUCCUAUUCACAAACAACCUUUCUCAAAGACCGGCUAUUGGCAGACUCUUUCGUCACUACAAGUGAACUAGUCAACUGGUGCUCAAAAUCCGGUAAGGAAUGCGUAACCAUUAAUGUAGACUUUGAAAAAGCCUUUGACAACGUUAGAUAGACCUUCUAUUGUGCGAAAACCUGCUAUUUCUAUGGAAAUUUAUUAUGCGAAACCUGCUAUUUCUAUGGAAGAUCUUCGAAUGGGUCUCAAGCCUCAAGAUUAACAAGAACAAAAUGGAAUUGUACUACUUGGGAUCCAAUCCACGUAAAGCCGACAGACUGGCUAAUAUUUUCGGAUGCAGAGCAGGUAAUCUACCUUUUCGCUAUUUGGGGUUGCCACUUUAUAAUAAGCUACUACGUAAGGAAGAUUGGGCGCUGGUUAUUAAUCGCAUAGAGGCGAGAAUCGAAAGAUGGAUGGCUAAACUUCUCUCCCAAGGAGGAAGACUUAUCCUUGUUAAUUCGGUGCCCACUAAUUUGCCGCUUUUCUAUCUUUCAAUUUUCAAAGCACCACACUGGGUUCUGCACCGGAUAGAGGCCCUGAGAAGAGCCUUCUUCUGGAAAGGGUGUUCCAAAAUUUUCGAUGGGGCAUGCCUCAUCAGCUAGAAAACUAUUUGCAAAAGUAAGAAAGAAGGAGGACUGGGGAUCAAAGAUAUGGAUUCUAUAAAUAUGGCUCUCUUAACCAAAUGGUGGUGGCGCUUCUUCAGGGAACCGCACCUGCUUUGGUGCAAGUUAAUUAGAUCAUUAUACUACACUAGAAGAAGGCUGUUGCACAAGGGCAGGGCCUUCGUACUCUACUCGCAGUGGUGGAAAGGUGUGGUUCGGUGCCGCAAAGUGUUUAAAUGCGGUGUUGCUUACACGCUAAGAGACGGAAGCAAUAUCAGGAUGCGGUUAGACAUUUGGAUUGGUGAAACCCCACUGCGUACUCUGUUUCCAGACAUCUUUACCAAUAUCAGGAACAAGAAGGUCAGAGUAUCACAAUGCUGGACUUCAAACGGAUGGAGAUGGCGCUUCAGCUGCAGAGGCUUCGUGGCGUCUCAAUCCAACGAAAGCCGUAGACAACUCACGCUGCUCCGAGACUUGCUACUCGACUAUAGCCCAAGCAUCAGACCGGACUUGUUUAAAUGGCGGUGGACCUCCAACAAAACGUUCAAAGUCAAAUCUCUUUAUAAUUUCAUCUCCGAUGCAGGACAGAAAGACCCGGUCAACCAAGAAAUAUAGAGAUUAAAAAUUCCUGUCAAAAUCAAAAUCUUCAUUUGGUUGCUCCUUCGAAAGAGAUUGCAUACUGCUGACAGACUGCUCAGCCGAGGCAUCUUCGUGGAGUAGCAUUGCGUCUUUUGUGCUAUUUUCACGGAAAGCUGCGACCACCUAUUCUGUAACUGCGUUUUCGCCUGAUACCUACUUCUCCGUGCGGCGAGUUCUGAUGCACCUGACAAUGCCUCGGGCGACGUCCAAGGUAUUUUGAUCAAUACCUCUAACAUUCCCGACGCCGCAAAGAGAGCAAAAGGUCUAACCCUAUUGGCGGCAAUCUGGUGGAUCGUCUGGACAGAAAGAAACAGCAUUAUCUUCAGAUCGAAUCAUCCUAACGCUACCCAAGCUUUCAAACGUGUCAAAAUCCUGUUGAACGCUUGGAUCGAGCUCCUUUGACUCGUCUACGUCUUGUCUUUCUUUCGCUUACUCCUCCUUUCCCCCUCUCCCCUUUCCUAUUUUUCCUCUUUUCCCUUAAGUUUUUUAUUACUGUUUUAUUACUGUUUUUUUUCUUACUUGUUUUAAGGAGGCCCUAGCUACUUCCACCCUGUACGCUUAGUUUAUUUUGCUUAAUUAAUAAAUGAAACAGGCAGCUCACUACCUCUUUCUCCAAAAAAAAAAAAAAGAAAAAGAUGUAAGGUGAAAUUUUAUAGGAGGGGAAUAUUUUACCAUCCUUUAACCUCCAACAAUGCAAAAUUAUAAAGCUAAGAGAAACUAAGUUACAGUUAAAAGAGGUCAAAGGGAAAAUAUUAAAAAAUAAGAGAAUUUUAAAUCUUCUUACAUCAUUCUUUUAUUUUCUCUGCGCCCUUACUUUUUUCUCAUUUUCUUUCUCUUCACUUUCUCUCUCACACUUUCUCUCUCCUUUCUUUCUCUUUCUUUAUUUUUUUCUCUACUUUCUCUCUAAUCUCUCCCUUCGCUUUAGCUCCUUUCACCUUCUCUCGUUAUCCCUUUAUCUCUCAUCACAUUCUUUCCUCUUAUUUAAAUUUCUCUCUCAUCACUUUCUCUCUCAUCCCUUUCUUUUUCAUUUCUCUUUUUUGUAUUCUCUAUUCACUUCUCUCUCCUCCCCUUUUCUCAUUUUCUCUUUUAUCUCUCCUUACUUUCAUUUUCUUUCUUCUCUCUCUCCUCAUUUUCAUUCAUGAUACAACCAAAUAUCAUUGAAGAAAAACUGUUUAUAGGAGUAAUGUUUACUCUAUAAAAUAUUACAGAAAGAAUAAUUAACCCCUUAAUAUUUAACCUCAUAGUAAACUGGCCCUUGGAGUUGUCUUUGCUAUCACCUCUUUUUAGCUUUUACCAAAUUUUCUGCAAUAUAAUAACAUUUCUAUGUGUAAUUAUUGAUGGAUAAAAUUGUAUGAAAAUGCCUCAACUAUAGGUCGUUUUGAAAUAGACCCUUUAUUUAUUCUUUACGACCCCUUAAACUUUUGGUUUUUUUUAUUUUUCUUUUGUACUUAGCAAAAAAUUUUUGAUUAAAAUCUCUCCCUUUAAAUUUUUAAUAAAUAUUUUUACUUUACUUGCAAAAAAUCACUCGAUGGCAAAAAAGAAAUUUAAAGCCGAGAGGUUGUAAAAUACAAAACAAAGAGUUAAAACAAAACAAAAAGAGUUAAAAGUUAGAGUUAAAGUUGAAGGGGGUCUUUCAGAAUGACUUACAAGCGAACGGCUCUUCAUACAUUUUACGUUAUUAUUGAAAAUUGGAUUUAAUUGAAGGACUUUUGCACCAAUAGGUUAUACGUGAAAUACUCCACUACCAAAAAUUUUAACAAUCAAAAUAUAUAUCUUAUGUGCGAUAUAUAUAUAUGAGUUAUUCAAAUUAAAUUCCAAAGUAGUUGAAUCUUCAAAAAUUGAAUACAAAUAUCGACAGAUAUAUGCCAGGAUUGGCUAUUUAUAUUUUAAUAACCAAAGAGAUAAUGAGACUUAAUUGUUAUACGUAGUAAAUUAUAUAUAGACCUUUCAUAGAAGAAUUUUACAAGUAAAUUUGAAUUAAUUAAUAUAUAGCUCAAAUUUUAAAGACCUACCAUAAAAGAAUUUCUAAAUUGAGUCUGGCUGCUAUAUAGCACGGAGGCCUCCAUACUACCAAAUUGUUUUCAAUGAUAUUGCUUCCAAAUCGAUGAUCAACUCUGUAAGACUUCAUUUACACUAUUGAAAGUAUUUGAAAACUAAAUUUCAGAAAUUUUCGACAUCAUUUAUCUAUCAAACGAGCAAUCUAAAAAUGAAUGGCUGAAAAUAAAAAUCUCGUAAAAAUGAUGAUAAAGACUUGAUAUUAAGAUUAGAUGUACUAAUCUUACUGUAAAUAGUGAAAAAAAUUUCUAUAAAAAUUUCAUCAUAUUUAGAUUGUUUUAUACUGUUAAAUUCACAAACGCAUCACAUCAACCAUUAAAAUUGUCAAUUUUGAGAUCUUUCGAUCACUAGCCAAAUAAGGUCGAAAAAUUAUAAAAUUUAACUUUUAAAUAUUUUUAAUAGUGUAGAUCAAGUUUAAUGAAGCCGAUCGUCUAUUUGAAAACUACAUAAUUGAAAAUAACUUGAUAACACGAAAGCCUCCAUACUACCGAUAGUUUAGCAACCUAGCUCUCUUAAAUUUUAAGCUUGUUAAAUUAGUACCAUGAGUAACAAUGAUAUUUAAAAAAACAUUGAUAACUCUUCCGACAGAUUAUUAACCAAUAAAGAAGAUUAAUGAUUAUUUUUGAUUUUUUGAGUGACGUUACUGAUGUAGUAUAUAUUAAUAAUUCCACCUCGAUCUCAAACUUUUUUUUUUCAGCUCUCAAACUUUUUGCCACCACUUUUUUUAUGCACAUAAGGAGUUUUGAAUCACUCUGAGGAUGCUAUUUGGCGCAAUUUUGUUAUUUGUUUGCUACCUGAAACUGAUAUGGACACAAAAUGCGGGACAUAAAAUAUGACAUGAUUUGGACACGACGAUUCAACAACUUUUAAAAAUAUAGACUAAAAACACUACUGUCACACUUCGAGGCCGAUUUUAAAAGCCAUUUUAUAAUGAAUACUAUUUUAGAAAUCAGAGUUGUAGAACAUGUUAUUUAUUUUUUGGCCAAUUUGCAUAAAAAAUUCACUUAUUUUCGGCUUUUGCAAAAUCGGGCCUCCUUUUUCAUUUUUGCAGAUUCGGUCCGAAUUUUCAGCAAACUGACCAAAAUACCCUUAUUACUUUUUCUCUCUCCUCUUUCUCUCUCCUCUUCGUUUCUCUCGUUCUUUCUUUUUUUCUCUCGCCGAAAAAAGUAGUGAAGGCAGAGGCGAAGGCGGAAACAGUUUGCCUCGCCUCUCACCCUCAUGCUCUCGCCCUCACCCUUGCCCUCGCCCAUGCAUCCCCCACCUUCCUCGCCUCCGAUCCCGUCGAGGCCGCGCCGCGACUUUUUUUUUUUUUUUUGCUUUUUUCUUUUCUUUUCUUCUCCGACUCUCCUCCACCGUCUCCGACGACGACGUCUCUCUCGCCCUUCCCCGCACUUCUCGUCCCUCCCUUUCCCUCCUCUCCGCCUUCGACAACGAUGCAUCUUCGCCGGCGCCGACGUCGACACCGUGGAGAUCACUGCGGUGCUACAGCCUCGAAGCAGGGGGUCCUUAGCGGCGUUGUCGCCGGCGCCGUAGCCGUUGGCAGAGUGGGGCGACAAAAAAAAUAUAAACGAAUCAAGAAAAAAAGAAUAAAGAUACAAAAUUAUAGAAAAAGAAGGAUGAAGAUGAAAUUACAUCGUUAACUGUAAAAAAAAAUUAUAAGUUGCAUUACUUAAGAUGUAAACUGCAGCUUUAAGAUGAAAAUUACACUCUUUAAACGAAAAUUACACUCUUUGAAAGAUAUUUACAUUGUUUUUCCUCUUAUUGCACUCUUUCAGAUGUAAACUGCAUCCAUUAAGAUGAAAAUUAUACUCUUUAAACGAAAGUUGCACUAUUUCUCCUCUUAUUGCACCAUUUCUCCUCUUGUUACACUGUUUUUUAUCUUAAACUGCACCCCUUUAAGAGAUAUUUAUACUGUUUUUUCUCUUGUUGCAUUGUUUCUCCUCUUAUUGCACUAUUUCUCCUCUUAUUACACUGUUUUUAUCUUAAACUGCACCCUUUAAGAGGAGAAACAGUGUAACAAGAGGAGAAAUAGUGCAACAAGAAGAGAAACAGUGCAACAAGAGGAGAAAUAAUAUAAAUAUCUCUUAAAUGAGUGCAGUUUAAGAUAAAAAAUAGUGUAAGAAGAGGAAAAAUGGUGCAACAAGAGGAGAAACGGUGCAACUUUCGUUUAAAGAGUGUAACUUUCAUCUUAAUGGAUAUAGUUUACAUCUGAAAGAGUACAAUAAGAAGAGAAACGGUGUAAAUAUCUCCCAAAAGUGUAAUUUUCAUCUUAAAGCUGCAGUUUCCAUCUUAAGUAGUGCAACUUGUAAUUUUUUUUGCAAUUAACGAUGCAAUUUUAUAUUCAUCCUUUUUUGUAUAUAAUUUUUUAUCUUUUUUUUUUUCUGUUUCUUCUAUAAAUUUUUUUUUGUCAUCCUCUUUGCCAACAGCCACGGCGCCGAUGACGACGCCGCUAAGGACUCUCCCGCUCCGAGCCUGCAGAGCCGCAGUGACCUCCACGGUGUCGGUGUCGGCGCCGGCGAAAAUGCAUCGUCGUCGGAGGCGGUAGAGAAGGAGGGAGAGGGAGAGACGAGAAGGGCGGGGAAGGGCGAGAGAGACGUCGUCGUCGGAGACGGUGGAGGAGAGUCGGAGAAGAAAAGAAAAGAAAAAAGCAAAAAAAAAAGAGUCGCGGCGCGGCCUUGACGGGGUCGGAGGCGAGGAAGGUCGGGGUGCGUGGGCGAGGGCAAGGGCGAGGGCGAGAGCAUGAGGGUGAGAGGCGAGGCUGACCGUUUCGGCCUCCGCCUCUGCCUUUGCUACUUUUUUCAACGAGAAAAAAAAGAACGAGAAAAACGAAGAGGAGAGAGAAAGAGAAAAGAGAAAAAAUAAUAAGGGUAUUUUGGUCAGUUUGCUGAAAAAGCGGACCGAAUCUGCAAAAACGAAAAAUGUGGCCCGGUUUUGCAAAAGCCCAAAAUAUUUUUUAUGCAAAUUGGCCUUUUUUAAAAAAAAAAAAAAUUCCAUAUGGCCCACGUGGCGUACAAACCCACCACAAAUACAAAGAUUCCCUGUUUACACAGACAGAGUCUUCUUUGUAUUUGCACAGCGUACCCAACGAUAACAACAAUAGAAUCACAACCACAACCUACACUUACCAAUCCACAACUAAUUCAUGCAAUACAUUUCCAUACAGCCAGUGAUUCUUAGAGAUGAUGCAUACCACUAAACACUACUUAGAUGCUGGAUGAUGUGAUGCACAAUACAACAAUCAUUCUAUUUAAAAGUAUUCUCCACCCGAAAGCUUUGUUUUUAAACUCUACUUAAUUAUCCAUAAAAACCACUCGAAAAUCUUUUAAAACUGUUUCCCACUCGGAAACUUUAUUUUUGAAAACCGACUACCUCGAGGGGUAGAAAACCACAUUGCAUGAAUACAUAAAUCUAAACCAAAUAUUCAUAAAGCUCCGAUUGCAUGCAUAAUAGAAAAAUAUCAACUCAUACAAGUUCACGAAGAUUCAAACAGCAAUAGUGAUCAUCUAACUGAACCAUUCAUUAUUUAAAUUACUAAAUGCGUAAACGAAAAGUAACCAGGGUGACGAUCGCUACUGAAGCCUAGCUAGGACGUCCUCCCGUCACACCACGAACCAACUCCAUGCCUGAGCCACCUGGAGAAAUAGGGGGUGAGAAAUCAUAAUCAAGAUUUUCUAGUGGGUACGACAGAGCCACGAAGGCAAAUCAUAUUCACUGGAAAAUAAAGGAGAUAGAACAAACUGAUAUAUGUGUAAGGAUAUGAAGAACAACUACAGUAGCUAUAACAACAGAUAUAAUAGAGUAAACAAUAAAAACUGCUACUGUAAGGAUUACAAUCAUGAGUAUGUCUCAAGGUAAUCAAACCAAAACUGUACCCAAUCUGGUGCCUGCCAUAUUGGUCCGCAAACCUCAAGUGUUGCCUGUCAUAGAGCAAACACUGACUUGAUUCAUGCGUUCACUGAUGACCUAUCCGGAUACGUACACCCCCUGGUCGGUGGCCAAACAACUGGUGUCUAGAAUACACAGUGCUGUGACCAAAUCAUGCUAAUAUGCUCAAUGCGAAAAUCGCUAGAAAACCAGUGUCUUUGCCGAAGCCAGAUGCAAGGGCGUACAACGCCGAACCAUGAUUAAUUAGAUCAAAACACACGACAAAUGAGUCGGCGUGUUGCCUGUACCCAAGGUCCACAGAUAUACAAUAUAUGCAAGCCUGCUCUACGUGUCUAAUAACAACUGUCACCAUGCAACUAUCAAGAUAUAGAUGAACAAACGAUAAAAAAAAGCAACCGACAUAUAGAGACUGAAAUACUGAUAUACAAGAGCAAUAGCAAGGGAGAGGAAAGUGAAACAAUCUCACCGACUACUAGCUCGAAGCACCAACCGUUACUAAUGUCGCGCCUGUCUCCAAACUAUAGACGAUCGUCAAUCGGACUAACGAAGGUCCACCGGGUCAGUAUCCAACCCAAAAAUCCAAAAUACCUAACUCAUGAACCCCACACAAAUCUUCGAAAUCGGUUUCCUAAAACCGAUCACCAUAACGAGCCGAAAGUCUCGAAAAUCACAUCGGGAUGCCGUUGGGACCCCCGAAAUGUCCCGAAACUCACUGACUCGUGCCACGAGUCACCCGCUGCCACAAAAUACAUCUUUUUUGAUGUCUUGGCAGCAAACUCAAGGUUACACAACCAAACAAUCAUCGCCGGAUAAUUGUUCGGAUUCGGGUUCCCAGAAGUGUCAAUUUCGACACCGGAACCUACCGUCGCUCACCCGUCAUCUCCGAACUCAUGAUAUAACGAUGGUGACCACCCGACAAGGCUCGGCGACAAAACUCAGGGCAAUCAAACACCGUCGGAUGAAAUCUGAGCCGAAAUUGCGUUCCGCCGAUGAAUUUCGCUAAAAAAAGCACUAAAAUCGAUAUUCGAUUUCUACGAAGGGCUUCGGACCUUGGACGAUCAGUCCAGAGGUCACCUCCCACACAUACAUACUGCCCACAGUAGCCACAAGAUGCAAAAUUGCAUAAAACUUCCAACUAUUGCAUAAAAUUACAUCAUUUUAUGUAAAUAAUGAGAUUUUGUGUGUAGUACACUGAACUUUGGCAAAUUGCAAAGUUCGAGUGUUGGAAUAGUAAUUAGAACUAUUCUACGACUUUUGAAGGAUUAUGAGAGGUUUUCAGCAAGUUACGGAAGCAAGCAAGUGGCCGGAAGCGGAAAAGUGCAUCGCAAUUGCACUAUCAACUCUAAUACGUUGAACUCCGUCAAUUGCAAAAUUCGAAUGUGGGGUUGGUAUCUGGAGCUAGCCCACAUCUUUUUAAGAGUGAAAGUGAGGUCCUUGACUGGUUAUAAGAGUGAACAAAGAGCCGGAAGAUUAAAAGUGCAUUGCUCUGUAGACGUGGAAAAGUGCGAAGUUCAAAUGUGAUAUUUUGAAUUUGACUGAUUAUGAAGUCUGAUGAGCGGGAAUGAUAAGUGGAAUUAUCCUACAUUCUCUAAAGGGUUUAGAGAGGUUUGUGGACAAGUAGGAGAGUGAUUAGACUACGGGAAGCGAGGAAGUGCAUUGCUACUGCCAUCUUGCACAUUCUGCAUUGUUGUACCGGUACAGGGUGAGGGUUGUACCGGUACAAGCAGCAGCAGAAGCAGCAACUGCGUGGCAGCUAGGCCAAUUUGGUCUUUUUCCACUCCAUCCCUAUCCUUAUCCUCCCAGCCCACCCCCAGCAGUUCACCAAAGGGUGCUGGAGUCGAGAGGUGAGGGUUUUGCAUCUCCUUUGCUCUCUCUCUCUCUAGAGUUUUCUCUCUCUAAGAUGAAAGCAAGGAAUUGAGCUUGUUUCUCUUUGCUCUAUGAGGUUUGCUGUAGGAGAGGGCCUGAAUCAGCUAUGAAGGAGUAAAAAGGAGGCUUAGGGAGAGGUAUUUCGUGACCCUAGCUUUGUAAGCAGCUGGGUUGAGGUUUGAGGGGGUAAGUUAUUCAAUUUGUUCCUCAAGUUUUGAGCUAGGGGAGUGAAGCUGAUGUGUUUUGGUUCCUUAAUUACCAGCAGGUUUGGAAAAUAGUCUCAACAGCUAGAGAGGGGUAAUUUUGCUGUAAUUCCUCUAUUUAUACCCAGGGGAAAACUAAAGUGAAGCUGUGAGAAGGUAAUUGAUUGAUUAAAUACAUGAUUGAUGCUAUAUGAAGUAUAAAAUAAGGUAAUAAUGCUGAUUUUGGGGGUCUAUGUUCUCGACAGUUAGAGUAUUCAUUCUGAGUUGAAUAAUACGCUUUCGUGAACUGAUUGUGAAUAUACUUCAAUUUGAGGGAAGUGCAAUUUCAAGUUGAGAAUCUAUGCAAGUAAAUUUCAGCAUAUACUAAGUGUAUAAGUGAAGUAGUGAUGCAGUUUUGGAAUCUAAUUACAGCAGGUUAGUGACUUUUGAAGCAGAAUUGGGAGGUGAUUCUUCAAUCCUGAGCUAAGAAAAAACUGAAAUUGAAAUUUGAAAAAGGUAAUUAGCUAGUUAAUUACCUUAUGUUGAUACUAUAUUAAGUAUAAUAGUAGAGUAAUGGUGCUGUUUCAGUAUAUAUUUUCAGCAGCCUUGGAAUUCCUUUUGAGCUGAAGGUUGGGACUUUUGUGAGCUGGUUUUGAGGUGUUUCAACCAGGGGUUGAACUGAACCAAAUCAGUUAGAAGGUAAAUUGCUUACCAACUCAUUAGUUGAUAAGAUUAGUUGUACCUCUAAUGCAGUUUUCAUGCAAUUACCGCAUACUUGCAGCAGGUUCACAGUGAACCAUUUGAUCUUAUUUGACUAAGUUUUGGAAGCUUUCGAAGGCUGAAUUUGAUACUCCAAUCUGAAUCAAAACGAGGAAUUAAGCAUUGAUACUGUACUAAGUAAGAUUCUAGCCUAAAUUGUGUGAAUGUGUGAGAUUUACAUGUGGGGAUUAAAGUUAAGUUCCUAACUGAUUUUAGAAUCAUUGUUAGGACACUCAGAGGCUUCGGAUUACCUUCAUUGGCAGAAUCGACGCGAGCUUCGGUAAUUAGGUGGGUCGGACCUUCCCGAAAUGGGUGAAUUCCCUUUAUGUCCCCUUUGACAAUAUGAGUUAAAGUGAUUGCAUAUUUAUGUGAAUGUAUGUUUAUAUGAUGAAAUUGAGAUAUGUAUCUAGAUGGAUAUCACAUCAAGCAUAGUAGUAUUUCUUUGUAGUAGAGAAAGAAUUAUGGAAUUGCUUAUUCUACUUAAAUCUCUUGUUUUAUUAAUCAGCAUCCAUGAUAUGAAUAACCUGUACAAAUAAGUUAAGCAUGAUUUCAUUCAAGAGGGAGGAAUUGUUAACCAUGAAAGUAUCAUUUGGUCUUAUGGGACCACAAAGGAAGGUUAUAUUUGAAGUGCCAGUAUACAAUUUCAUGUUGCUGACAUGGUGUCAGAACUGUUAGUUUAUCUCGUAUAAGGAACUUAUUUAUAUAUCCAUAUAGAAUCAUACAAGAGUAUCUUAGAUCAUGUUUUACAUACUUGUGUUGACAAGUUGGUUGCUGUUUUUCAUACUUAUAUUGUUAGAACUAGCAUAAACUUGAGUUCUGAACAUGAUCUAGUUAAGUAAUAAGAAGUUGGCAUUAUGAUAUAACUUGAAUGUUUUUCUAUUGAAUGUAAUCUAAUAAGACCUAGAAAGGAAUAUGAGGAUUUGCUUGCAUGAUCAAGUAGAAAUAACUGUACAUUUCCUGUUUACCUCAAGUAGUAAAGGAUUAGAAAUAACUGUACAUUUCCUGUUUACCUCAAGUAGUAAAGGAUUAUCCUGAACUAUAGAUUAUGUGCCACGAGUCGUUGGACAUAACCUUAGAAGACCACUACCCUUACAUAUAGGGAGUAGUGAGAGGACUUAAUGUGAGUAUGUGUGGAUAUAGCCCAUUAUCAAAUAAAGGUUAACUGUCAAGUUAUACUGGUUAUGGAAAGAAUUAUAUCAACAGAUAGUUGAUAGUGGUUUAUGAUUUAGUACUACUACGUCGACCCUGCGUCGAAUUGAGAUUCCAUGUUAGAGACAUGAUGAAACUGGGACACUUAUACUAUGGAUUACAGCUUGCAUGCCCUUGUGCUCAUUCGGACACGCUUGUGGGGGUCGCGCACCCCAGGCCAGCGCUCCGGAGUGGCUUCGCGACAGAUUGCUCGCCUAUAUACGAUUUGAGCGCCGAAGUGGAUUGCCGUGGGUAGUGUUGACUUCCACGGGGCCAUUAGGCACGGCGCGGCUAUGACUUUACUGUGGAUAAGUCUAUUGUGAAUUGGGUUAUCAUGAGCUAUCUUAACCUUAACUGGACAUAGUAGUAAGGUUACUUUAUGUCAUUGAUUAACUAAACCUAGUGAUGAGCAUACUAAAAGAUUAAUAUCCGGUUUAGUUGGUAGUAUAGUGACAGUUUGUUUACACUCUUGCUAGUGUAGGAAUUAAUUACAUGAUAUCAUCAACUCGUUUAGUGACAGUAAGAAUAUUUCACCUAUAACUAACGUAUAUCUAGUUAAACUGUCAAUUAGCAGGAUUGGGAAAACUGGUCACAGUGAACUAGUACAUUGAACUUAUUAAUAAGCAUAUUUUGAGAUGAAUGUCAUGUUUGAUUUAUUUCAAUACCUGUUGCAUUUACUUGCUUAUCUAAUAUCGUUUACUCAUGCCACAGUUGACCUAGUGGUGUACUUCGCCACUCUCGGCGGCUUACCCACUGGGAAUUAUUGUUUUAUAGUUUUCACACCCUAUUUGUUGUUGUUUUUACAGAGCCUUCCAUUGCGGGAAAGGCUAGGGUUCCCGACGAGAAGUCAGUGGCUAGCUAGAGCCUUCUUGACGUUAAAUAGACAACCCUUACAACUUUAUACAGUUUCCUCCAGUAUUGUAUAUUAAGCCAUGUAAAUUGUGCUUUAGCCUUAUCUGUUGUAAUAGAGUUUUGAGUUGUAUAAGUUUAAACUUUUAAUUGUGCUCUGAUUACCUAGUGCAGUUAAGAUGUGGAUACUAUUUUGUUGAUUCUUGUUGUAGACGCCUAGUGUACAAUGUGGUAGUUUGGUGUACACGGCGGGUCUGUACACAUUACUGUGAGCUUUCGCUGAAGUCCAAGGCGUGACAUUGUGGCUCGUUACCGCAAACUGAGGGCUCCCGAGGUCAGCCGAGAGAUGUACUGACAGAUCUUGACGUGUCGGAGGCCGUGCUCAUGAUCCGGAGCAUAGCGGCUCACUGUGGGGCGCACGAGAGCGAUCCGAAAUUCAACGAACUACGCGCACUCAGGGUAAACCACACUGAAAAUGCAGAUUCGGAAUCCGUUGAUCAUAAUUGAGGUGAGCACUAUGAUCAGCACUGACGAGCGAUCACCGUGCUUACCUCCGGAGGCAUCGGGACAUCCUCAGAUCGCCAGAAAAGCAAGAACAACCGAGAACACCUCAAAAACUGCAAUGCGUAGAGUUACCGGGCAGGGGGAAGCUAGGGCACGUCCGACAACAGUUCGAUAGCCGGCAUGCCGGCUGCAGGCGGAUAAAGCCGACCGGGGGAGGCCGAGGCUCGCGCUGGCCGGCGGCGGGAGGCGGCGCGGCAGCACUAGAGCAACCCGAGCCCGCAUGGGCCGAGCUAAGGCUUGGGGUUCCGCGCUGGCCUCGGCGGUGGCCAGGGCACCUCGGGGCAGCGGUGAGGGAUCGCUUGAGGCCAGAGGGAGGUAGCAAGGGCGGUUCCGGGCGGCGGCGGUGCCGGGGAAGGGGUGCAAGGUCAGCUCGGCCCGAGCCCACCCACGGAGACGCAGGGCUGCUGCAGCGUGGCGGCGGUACUCGGUGACAGCGGCAGUCGGCGGGGGAAGGUUGCCAGGGAGGCAGCAAAAGCGGCCCUAGUUGGCGGCGGUGCUAGGGAAGAGAGCUGGGGCUUCCUUAGCCCGAGCUCUCCCUGGAUGGCAGUAGGCUGCUGAGGUCGCGGCGACCGCGCUCGAAAACGAUGGCAGUCGGUAAGGGAAGUCGACAGAGGUCCGAUGAAGUACCAGAAGAGGGCCCAAGGGUGGGGGAUCACCCUACCAAGCUCUUGAGUAGAGAGGGAGAGGAUUUGGUGGCAAUGUGAGAGGGAGAGAAGGAGAUUGAGGCUGAGGAGGUGGUUGGCCAGACGGAGCUCGGUCAACGGCAGCCGAAAGGCACGCGGCGCACGAGGGUGACGGAGGAGAGGCGGCUAGGGGUGUCAGCUGGAGCUAGGGUUAGGGUUUGCACCAUGAAAACCCUAGGUAGCCUUAUAUACAUGAAUGUAUAAUUACGCAUAAGUCCACCGAAACUCAGUAUUUUCAACUGAGUCCCUCAGAGCGCAAGUAAAACGCGCGGACACACCCCAUAUUCGAUUUCACACAAAACGGUACAUAAAAUGUAGGGCUUUUCACAAAAUUUUUGUUUCGUGACUUAUGACCUCUCCUCGAUCCUCGCGUGAUAUCAGGAGAUCCAUCUGGCAAAUUUGUGAGCGGACUGCACCAGAGCGUUCAGCACGACCGAGACAUCAAAUCCAUAAUUUUGUUUUGCCUGGUUUUGUUGCAGAUUCGCGACGAAAACCAUCCUUUCUUCAAUUCAGCGAAACCACACACGUAUAAGAAAAAGUAUAUAAUCUAUAAUUGCCUCCAAAACCUCCAAUGAGCGAAAAAGCGGCCAAAGUCCCUCCCAACUAGUCUUCUCUCGCAGAAAGGUCCCCGCCCGAGGGUCCACACGCAAAACGGAGCAACGUGAAGUUUUAAAAAGUAAGAACAAAAGUCCACUUUGCGAUAAAAUCUAGUUUUCUCAAAAUUCGUGCGUCAAACCUAAAAUCUGUCAAUGCCAUUGGGUCUAGGAUAGUCAAACCAUUGAAAACGAGCUAUUGGAUUACCAUGAACGGAGUUCAAUACACGCCAGAAGCCAUCUCUAUUCAUUGACUUCUCUGAAAACCCGGGUUACUAUUUACUUUAAGUGAAAAGUAAAGAUUGCGUAAAACUCCAUUCUAUCUCGUUUCCUCCCGAAACUUGACGGGUGCUUUUGUAAUUAAAAUACACACAAAAAAUCGUCAACAGAGAGUUUAGCUAUACUGCCAAAUUCUCAGUCCUUACAUCAUCCCCCUUUAAAGAAGUUUCGUCCCCGAAACUUGCUCACAGGUAAGGGUGAUCUGAUGCUAAACGAACCAAAAAAACACAUGCAUGCGAUGCAAGAAAAGAUGCAUUGGUAACGAAAAGCGUUAUAUUUAUGACAUCAAACAAAAGUUAUACCUGCGAUGACAUCAGCUGAUUGAUCUUAAUCCUGGCGUGUCAUUAUGUAGACGCGUCCGCCGGUGGUCUGGUGUGCCCCCUCCUCCUGCCGGGAUGUCGAGGGUUGUCCAGAUGAAGAAUACAUCGUUUUGCCAUGAUCCUGCCAUGGAGCUGCUAGUGUAGAUGCUACAGUAGAUACUGUUCCUGGUCCGUUGGUCCAAAAGCAACCUAAUUGGAAACCUGCUAUAUCGGUCCGUAGACCUCAGGCCUGUGCCACAACUGCUCUAACCUGUAAAUGGCCCUCGCAUAAGCACCCAGGUCUGAAAGCAUAUGACCCUGGCAUAAAGCACCCGGGUCUGAAAUCAUAUAACCCUCACAUAAAGCACCCGGGUCUGAAAGUAUAUGACCCUCGCAUAAAGCACCCAGGUCUCACAGGCUGGCACUCCCAACCACUUUUUCAGAAAAGAACACCCUCUUGCGGUGGCCAAACCGCUGGUGUACGUGAAAUGCGUACGAGCAGUGGCGAUCAAUGCUGAUAUACUCAAUAGUCAACCGUCGGCAACUGGCCGAUAAUCCUACCCCUCAGGGUAUGUCGACCGUAUAGGUCAUCGAACCAUAAGGAACACAAGUACCGACCACUCAGGUCAACUAGGACGGAACAACUCAACACCCUUCCGAAGGUAUGCAAGUACCGACCACUCGAUGUCAACUAACAUAUAUGCACAAGAACCGACCAAUAGGUAACAAGGAUGUCACGUCAUGCAUCAGUAUAAUCCAGAACUAGUCAUCAGCCACUAGCCGACAAUCCUACCCCUCAAGGUAUACCGUCCGUGUAGGUCGCCAAGUAGUCGAACCGACCAAAUAGGUCACAAUAUCAGAUGCAGUGAAUCGACCGAAUAGGUCAUAGAACGAGAUACAAGAACCGACCGACUAGGUCAAAAGGAUGUCACGUCAUGUAUCGGUAUAAUCCAGAACUAGCCGUCAGCCACUAGCCGACAAUCCUACCCCUCAGGGUAUACCGACCGUGUAGGUCGCCAAGUAGUCGAACCGACAAAAUAGGUCACAAUAUCAGAUGUAGUGAACCGACCGAAUAGGUCAGAGGACGAGAUACAAGAACCGACCGAUUAGGUCACCGAUCUCAUAUGUAAUCAUAAACCUGCUCAACUCCUCCUUAUGAUGCUAGACAUGAAAACAACUAAGUAGAGCGCAAAAGGAGUAACAAAGGUGCUAGGCUCAACACGAUAUAUAUAUGCAAAGUAAUAACAAGAGAACAAGGGUAAGAAGAUGUCACCGAGCGUGCACCAUUGUACCGACGUCGGGUCGAAGUACCUAUCUGUACGUAAACGGCACUGGUCUCCCGACUACGGAGGAGUAUCAACCAGACCUACGAAAGGUCCACCGGGUUAGAAUCCAACAAACUUAUACUAACCACUAACUCACAAUCCCCACAUGUAAACCCACGGGAAUCGGUUUCCCAAACCGACUGCCGUAACACGCCGGAAGUCCCGAAAUUCGCACCGGGACUCUGCCGGGACCCACGAACUAUCCCGGAACUCACCGACUCGUGCUACGAGUCACCCGCUGCCACUAAACACAAUUAUUUAUGCGACCAGGCAGCGAACACAUAUCCUCAUAUCAAAACGAUUAUUGUCGAAUAAUCAUUCCGAUCCGGAUUCCAGAAAGUGUCAAUUUCGACACCGGAACCCACCAUCGCUCACCCGUCGUUUUCGAACCCUCAAACGACACGAGUGACCGGCCAACAAGGCUCAGCGACCAUAUAAUUUUUCGUGAGGCACCAUCGGAAGAAUUCCAAACCGAAAUCGUAUUCCAUCUGCGGAUUUCACCGAAAAACGCACCGAAAAUCAACAUUCGAUUUUCGGAAAGGCCUGGGGCCUUGGAUAACUAGUCUAGAGGUCACCCGAUGCCCGUACACACUGCCAACAGCAACCAUGGAAUAUAAAUUUGCAUAAAAGCCCCUACGACUACACAAAAUCACACAAGUUUGUGUGAUUUUAAGGGUUUUACGGCCUGACAGCGCAAACUGAGGACUUUCUAGCCUGGCCAAGACACCCGUUGACAGUUCUCGAUGUGCCGGAGGCCGUGCUCACAAUUUGGCGCACGGCCGGCCACUGUGGCGAGCGCGGGAGCAAUGCGAAGUUCAGCGAAAUAGCGCGCACAGCCUAAACAAUGCUUAGCACGCAAACCGAGGCUUCGCUGAUCCCAAUGGAGGUGAGCACGAUGUUCUGCACAGAUCAGGAAUCAUCGUGCUCACAUACAGGAGUGUCGAGGUGUCCUCGGAUUGCCGAAAAAGCGAUCGGAAAACAGUUUGUGCGGUUCGCGGCUUAGUGUCGCUAACAGUUUUUGGAUGUUUAAAGCUAAGGGACUCCUAGUGAGUCGGUUCAAGGUUGAUCUGAUUUCGAAUGUCGACUUGCAAUGUCGAUGCUUCGACGAUUUUGGUUGUGAACUUUUGGUUCAGUAAAGAUGUAUCAGGUGGCUUGAUACUUCGAUGUGUCGGGCUUCCAACUUCUUGUUGAUAGUAGAUCUUCGAGUAUUUUGCUUUUCUUUUGAUAAGUACAUUAGUUGCAGAUAAUAUACUGUCAAAAGUUGGGACGAAAUACCUUUCCCCAUUUGGGACUUUUGGAUUGGGUCGAUCACAACUAAAAGGUUUGCGUUGGUUGGUAGUCUCGGCUUUUUGCCGGGCGGUUCGGAAUCAUGAUUGUUGAGUGGCUUGAGCAUGGUUAUUGGCUUUGAUUAUCGCGGUAGGUGUUAGCGUAUAAGGUUUGCAACUUGGCUAUCGUGCAAACUUUGGAAAUGGAUGCUUGUCCGGUUAUUUGGUGACAGGUGCGCUUGGGUCUCAAUGAGACAGGUGUUUGGUGUUGCUGGGAACAUCGAUCACUAGGGUCCCUUUGGGACGGCAGUGAUAGGGUCUCGUAGAGACAAGUGUUGGGCAUCACCGAUGGUUAUUAUCGCAUAUUGCGAUUGGCAACCCUGUGCGUCAAGUGAUGGACUUGCAUGGAGCAUAUGUUGGUUUGAUUGUACCGCAUUAAGUUAUUGAGGAGACAAAAUUGUCGAGCUCAAUUGGUAAUAUCAACCUUGGACCUUUUGGUCAGGCGGAAGGUGAAGCCUUGGACCUAGGAGUGUCGAAUACCGUCGGUGGGUUUUCGAUACUAAGGGUUUGACUUCGACUCUUUGUAUAUCUAACUGGUGGGAGACUGGUCUCCGAGGUGAGUGUUUUUUACUCAGGUUUUAGGGCAACGAUACGCAUUCGCUCGUAGUGAGCUGGUUGACGUUGUUGGCUAAUCGGAGUGUGUCGUUUCGACCUACAAAAAUAUACUCCAGACUUAUGGUGUUGUCCCGCACUUUUCUAUGUGAACUUUCGACGUGGACCUAGAGCUUCUGAGUGAUGAAUUAUUAUCUCAGAUUUGGCAGAUUUGGGAUCAGAUAAUCCUGGUUGCGGAACUGUUUUGUCCGCAGGUUAUAGGAUGGUCUUGAUCCCGGUGAGCCUUGGUCCAUAGAUUUUGGGUUGGUAUGUUUUCUCUCGCCUCGUCCGAGUGGAACAGCAGUUUUAUUCUCCCCUCCUUCGGAGAUUGAUCUUUCCAGAUUCAAGGCUAGAAAUUUGAAUUGGGAGUAGCAUCGAUACUCAAAGGAGAAACCACAAUAGCGGUUUGGUAUCCGAAUUUCAUUACGGUAGGUGUGUAGUCAAGUUUCAGGGACGAAACUUUUCUUUAAGGGGGGGUAAUGUAAGGACUGAGAAUUUGAUUGUGUAGUUAAACUUUUUGUUGACUAUGUUUUUGUGUGUAACUUAAUUACAUAAGCACUCAUCAAGUUUCAGGAGAAAAGAGUUAAGAUGGAGAAGUUACGCGACCUUUAGUAAUAACUUAAGUGAAUAAUAACUCGGGUUUUCCGGAAAGGCCAAUCAGUGGAGAUGGCUUCUGGUGCGUAUUGGACUUCGUUCAUAGUGAUCCAAUAGCUCGUUUUCAAUGGUUCGACCAUCCUGGACCCAAUGGCACUAACGGAUUUGGAUUUUAAUACACAGUUUGUCAUAUACUGAAUCUUGGGCCUACUGGCAAGUUCAAGGGUUGGAAUAGUUAUGGGAACUCUUCUAUAACUUUUGAAAGAUUGUUGAGAGGCUUCGACAAAUUACUGGAGCAAGCAGAUAACUGGAAAUGAAAAAGUGCAACGCAAAUGCACUAUUCAAUUGCAAUGCUCUGAAUUUGGUCAAUUGCGAAGUUCGAGUGUGGGGAAUGAUAAGUGGAACUACCCUACACCUUCUAAAGGGCUUAGAUAAAUUUUUGGACAAGUUAGAGAAGUGAUUGAAUGGCCGGAAGCAAGAAAGUGUAUUUCUGGCGAAAUUCUGCAUUGUGUACCGGUGCAGCCAUCAUCGUGUACCGGUACACAAUGGCAGAUACGUGGCAGCAAGACUAAUUUGGUAAUUUCACUUCUUAUACCUAUCCUUAUCACCCCAGCACGACUCCUACAGCCUUGUGGAGGAUGCUAGAGCUCUGAGAAGUGGUUUUGCAUCUAUCUCAUUUUCUCUCUCUAGGAUUUCUCUCUCUUUGAGUAGAAAUCGCCGAUUUGCACCUAUUUCUCACCGUUCUUCGCGCUAGCGGGUUUGCGGGCUUUGGAGCAGCUACGAGUGGGUGGAAAGGACUCGCAGGGGAGGUAUUUUCGCAGCUUCAACUCACAGGGAAGCUGAGUUGAAGUCUAGUGAGGUAAACUAACUAGUUUUCUCUCUAGAUUGAGAUUAGUGAUAGCUUUUGAUGUUGGUUCUUGAUUCUUGCUACCAGCUGGAAUGAGAUGGGUUAAAGCAGCAAUUGAGGAGUGGUUUUGGGAUUAUUGUUUGCAGCGGGUUUCCAAAUCGAUUUAAGCUGAGUUUGUGACCUUGGGAGCUGGUUUAGAAGGUGUUCCAACUAGGGGUAAGUGGAAUUUUCAGUUAGAAAACUGAUUAAGUGAGAUUCCGACUAUACUAUCUAGUAUAAAAGUGUUUUGAUGUCGUUUUGGCGAUUGUUCGCAGCGAGGUUGCGACGAACCUUCGGAUUAUCUCCGGCUGCUAUUGGAGAGCCUUUAGAGGUCAAACUUGAGGUACUAAAGUGAACCAAAUCAGGGAUUCGAGCUACAACCUUGUAUAAGGUGAGGAUUUUGCCGAUUUGGACGUUGUGGCACUACUUUCAAUGUAGUUUUGAGACUUAAUUAACAACAGGUUUAGUGAUUACUUUGAGCUGAAUAUUGAGACUCUUUUGAGCGGGAUCAAGCCGAGUUGAAGUGCUUCAACCUGGAUGGAAGUAAAGGUUUAGUUUUAGACUAAACUCAUUCAUGAUAUUGGUAGCUUGCAUAAGCAAUUUAACUUGAUGUCAUUCAAGAGGAUAUAACGGUAAAAUCGUGAAUAUACUAUUUAGCUCAGUUGAAUAGCAAAGAGAAUGAUGCACUUAGGAUUAAACUAUGCAAUUCUAUAUGGCAAGUAUAAUGGCUAAACUCUGAAUAUAUCACGUAAAGGCAUUUGUUUGAGUAUGCAUUCAUAAUUGUAGAAUGAAUGGCAUAGAGAUCAUGUGAAGAGUAUUCUAUCGCGCAUCUUAUCUACUUGUAUCAACCAGUUAAUUCCUGCUUUCACAUGACAGAUUAGUCUGAAUUUCAUGUUGUGAUAUAUGAUCUAGUUGAAUAACUAGAAUUGAGUAUGACUGCAUAACUUGAAGGUUAUACAACUGAUUAUAAUCUAGUAAAUAACUAGAUUUGGAUAUGAUAACAUGCUUGUAUAGUCAAGUAGAUGUAAUUGCAUAGUAUUUGUUUACUCCAGAUAGUGGAGGUUUACAUUGAACUACAGGAUAUGUGCCAUGAGUCUUUGAAUACGACUUCAGUAAACCACUUUCCUUAUGUGUAAGGAGUAGUGAGAAGACUAUGAGUGAGUGUCCAAGUGUAGCCUGAUAGAAUCACUAGUAUGAGGUAAACUUAACUUCUUAUGUUAUCCUAGCUGUUGGUAGAAUUAUGUCAACAAGUUGUUGAUGGUGGCUUACGUUUGGGUACUACCGUGUCGACCUUGGGUCAAGUCGAGAUUCCAUGUCAGAGACGUGAUGACGUUGUGAUAUUUUGUACUAUGGAUUACGGCUUGCAUGCCAUUGUGCUUUUUCGCGCAUACUUGUGGGGGUCACGCCCCCCAAGCCAGCGCUCUGGUGUGGCUUAGCGACAGAUUGCUCGCUUAUGUAUGAAGUGAGCGCCAAAAUGGAUUGCCAUGGGUAGUGUUAACUCCCACGGGGCCAUUAGGCGCGACACGGGCCAGACAGCCUUCGGGUGCGUCUUCAGGCCAAAUAGCCUUCGGGUGGGUCUUAAGGCCAAACAACCUUCGGGUGGGUCUCCAUGACAGACAGCCUUCGGGUGGGUCUUACAAGAUUCAAACUUUGAGCAGUUAAAUAACGAGUGAACUUAUUGAGGAACAAGCUAGACAGUUGACAUCUUGACGUUAGUGACAUAGUGACUGUGUGUUACACUUUUACGGGUGUAGGAAGAUAUCAUCAGUUAUUUUGUAAUGAUGAACAAUCUGGCAUAUGAUUAGUCAAAUACCUAAUGACAGCAUGUUUCAUUAUUGCUAAUGUAGACCUGAAUUAUCAGUGAUUUCAGUAAACCUGAAUUAUCUCGCAUAUCUUUUAGCAUAUGACUAGUUAAAUUGUUAACUAACAUGAAUGGCAGAAUCUAUCAUGACAAACUAGUACCUACACCUGUGAUAUAUAUAUUUAUUUUUGAGCAAAUAGCAUGAUCGGUUUACUUUCGUACCUGUUGCAUUUAUUUGCUUAUUUAUUGCUAUUUACUCAUGCCACAGUUGACCUAGUGGUGUACUUCGCCACUCUCGGCGGCUUACCCACUGGGAACUAUUGUUUAAUAGUUCUCACGCCCUCUUUGUUGUUUUUUUUACAGAGUCUUCCACAGCGGGAAAGGCUAGGGUUCCUGGCGAGGGGUCAGCGGCUAGCUAAAGCCUUCUGGACGUUUACUAGACAACCUUUAUCAGUUUAUGUAGUUUAGUUCAGUGAUGUAUAAUAUGAUCAUGUAAAUUGUACUUUGUUCUUAUCUGUUGUAAUAAGGUUUUGGGUUGUAUAAGUUAAACUUUUAGGCUUUGCUCUGAUUACCUGGUUAGAAUCGAAUGCUUUUACUAUAUUGAUUGUAGACGCCUGGUAUAUACUUGAAUUAUGGUGUACACGGCGGGUUUGUGCACGCGACUGGUGAGCUUCAGCUGAAAUCCAGGGCGUGACACAAUUUUUAGGGAAAAAGGGGGUUUAUUGGAUUUACACAUAUAUAUGUGUGGUUUUUGGAAAAUUGGAGAGGGGAUGGAUUUCGUUGUAAAUCGGCGACCAUAUCAAGCAAAAGAAAAUCAUGAGUUCAAUGCCCCGAUCGUGCUGAACGUGUUGGCGCAGUCCGUUCACAAAUCCGAAGGACGGAUCUCCCGAAAAUUCAAAAUUUUUGCAAAGGUGUUGAAUAUUGGCAAAACGAAAAAUCCGCAAAACACCCUAUAUUUUAUGUACCGUUUUGCGCAAUUUUCGAACGUCGAGGUGCGUACGCGCGAAAAUACACGCACUGCGAGGGUCUCGGCUGAAAAGACCAAACCUUGGGGGACUUAACUGCAAAAAUGCCACCAUGUAUAUACGAGCUAACUAGGGUUUCAUGGAGGAAACCCUAGCCCAGCUAACCACCUCAGGUGAGACCUUCCCAGCCGCUGCACCACCCUCUCCUGCCCUCGCCGCGCGCGUCCCGGCCGCCGCCGCGUCCUUCCGGCUGUCGGAAAACGAGCAUUGCCUCCCUCUCCACCAAACCGCCACUAUCUCAUAUUCCUCUCUACUUGAGAGCUCGGCAGGGUGAUCCCUUACCUUGUGCUCUCCUCCGGCGACUCCCCGAACCUCCGGCGACCUCCCCCGACCGGCCACAGCCGCCCUCCAGCGCUGCGGUCGCCAAGGUUUCUACUUACAGCUGGCUCGGGCUGGUGUGGCCGAGCCUUGCCGCGAUGUUGCCUCGGUUGCCGGCCGCCGUCUCCGCCUCCUUCUCUCGUUGCCAGAGGAUGGUCGUGCCCCUUCCCUGUCUGCUCCGGCCCCGCCAUGGCUAAAGGAACUCGCUAAGCCCUGGCUGAGGCCGUGCGGGCUCGGUUUCUUCUCGCGCCGCCACUGCCGCCGGCCGGCGUGAGCGUCGGCCCUCCCUGACCCGUCGUACUCGUCCGCCGCCGGCACCCCGCCGCCGGAGCUUCCCGUCGGCUGGACCUGGGCCGUGCUCUCCGCGGGUUAUUGCGGCUAGGGCAUCAAUGCCCGUCGCCGCCGCCGCCGCCUUCCAUCGCCAACCGACGCGUGCCCUGACCUUCCUCUGCCAGCUGCACCCUCCUGCCGCCGGCUCACCCACCGCCGAGACGCCGCCGGCCAUGCCAUGGCCCUCUUGCCCGGUGAGCUUUAUUUUAGCCUAUUUUUGCACUGUUUCCUAUUUAGACCUCUGUUCCGGCGACUAGUGGCUGUUCCGAUGCCUCCGGAGGUGAGCACUGAUCGUCGGUCAGUGCUGAUCAUAGUGCUAACCUCAUUUGGGGUCAACGAACCCCGAAUUGGGGAAUUAAACGUGUUUUAGUUUCAGCGUGCUGUGUUCGCUAAACUUUGAGUCGCUCCCGCGCCUCCCACAGUGGACGACCAUGCUCCGAAUCAUGAGCAAGGCCUCCAAAACAUCGAGACCUAUCAGCAUGUGUCACGGCAAGGCUCGAAAGUCCUUGGUUUGCGCUAUCGGGCCAUAAAACCUAAAAUAUCAUAUAAAAUAAUGUGAUGUUAGGUGAUCGCAGGGACUUUUAUGCAAAUCUAUGCUUCGUGGUUCCUGUGGACAGUGUGUGUGGGCAACGGGUGACCUCUGGAUUGGUUGUCCAAGGUCCGAGGCUUUUAUGAAAAUCGAAUAUCAAUUUCCGAUGCGUUUUUUGGCAAAAUCCGCCUACGAAACGCGUUUUCGGUUCGGAUUCCUUCCGACGGUGCCUCACUGUAAAUUGUUUUGUCACUGAGCCUUAUUGUCUGGUCACUCGUGUUGUUUUGAGGGUUCGAAGACGACGGGUGAGCGACAGUGGGUUCCGGUGUCGAAAUUGACACUUCCGGGAACCUGAAUCAGAAUGGUUAUCCGACGAUAAUCGUUUCGAUGUGAGGUUACAUAUUUUUUGCUAGGACAACUUAGUUAUGAUGUUGUGUGUCAGUGAGUGACUCGUGGCCCGAGUCGGUGAGUCCUGGGACACUUCGUGGGUCCCGACGGAGUCCCGGUGCGAUUUUCGGGACUUCCGGCAAGUUACCGUAAUCGAUUUUGGGAAACCGAUUCCCAUGGGUUUACAGGUGGGGAUUAUGAGUUAGUGGUUUGUAUUCGUGGGUUGAAUUCUAAUCCGAUGGACUCUUCGUAGGUCCGGUUGAUUAUUUUCGCAAUUUUGAGACAAGUGCUACGUAUGUACAUGUGGGUACUUCGACCCGAAGUCGGUACAGUGGUGCACGCUCGGUGCCAUCCUUUCUACCCUUCUCCUACUAUUACCUUGCAUAUAUUAUGUUGAGCUUUGCACCCUUAUUAUUUCCUUAUCGCUCUAUUUGGUUAGUUUACCUAUAUAGCAUUAUGAGUAGAAGUAGAGUAGGUUUAUGACUACAUAUGAUAUCUGUGACCUAGUCGGUCGGUUCUUAUAUCUCGUACUAUGACCUAUUCGGUCGGUUCUCUGCAUCUGAUAUUGUGACCUACUUGAUCGGUUCGAUUACUUGGCAACCUACACGGUCGGUAUACUCUGAGGGGUAGGAUUGUAAGCUAGAGGCUGACGGCUAGUUCUGGAUUAUACCGAUGCAUGACGUGACAUCCUUGUGACCUAUUGGUCGAUUCUUGUGCAUAUAUGUUAGUUGACAUUGAGUGGUCGGUACUUGCAUACCUUCGGAAGGAUGUCGAGUUGUUCUAUCUUAGUUGACCUGAGUGGUUGGUAGUUGUGUUCCUUACUGUUCAAUGACCUAUUGGUCGAUGUGUCCCGAGGGGCGGUGAUUGUUGGCUAGUUGCCAAUGGUUGGCUAUUGAGCAUAUCAGUAUUGAUCGCCACUGCUCAUACGCAUUUCACGAAUACCAACGGUUUGGCCACCACAAGGGGGUAUUCUUUUCCGUAAAAGUGGUUGGGAGUGCCAGCCUAUGAGACUCGGGUGCUUUAUGCGAGAGUUAUAUGCUUUCAGACCCGGGUGCUUUACACGAGGGUUAUAUGCUUUCAGACCCGGGUGCUUUAUGCGAGGGUUAUAUGCUUUCAGACCCGAGUACUUUAUGCGAGGGUCAUUUUACAGGUUAGAGCAGUUGUGGCACAGGCCUGAGAUGUGCGGACCAAUAUGGCAGGAUUUUGAUUGGGUUACUUUUGGACUUGUCGUCCGGUUGAUGCAUGCAUACAAUAGCGAUAAUGAUUCAUACAUAUAUCUCGUUUCCUUGUUUAUUAUUGCUACUGUAUUACCAUUAUCUGUACUUUUGUUUAUCCUCCUUGACUGGUGAGUACCCCUCGCCCUCGUCGGCUUGCGUUACCCACUGAGAGAGGAGACAUGUGCACAUGUUCUCACCCCCCACCCCCUUCAGGUGAUGUCGCAGGUCCGAGUCGGGACGGUGCGUGAAGAGCGUUCCUAGCGAUCGAUUAGAGCUCCUGACCUGGUGGACUUUGGCUAAAUCUCUUAACUUGCCUUUUCAAAAUAUAACUUAGGCAUACUAGUUCAGUUGGCUUACUUUAUUUGAAUUCAUGUGAUUUUUGAAAUGUAAUAAAGUACUUAUGGAUUUCCUCAUGAGAUGAAAACGGUUUUCUACCCCUCGUGAUACCUUGUUUUAAGAGGAAAAGCUUUCCAUGUGGAAAACAGUUUUUAAAAGAGUUUUUCUAGUUUUCGCGACUCUUAGUGUUUCAAAAUGUGUUUCCGGGUAGGAAAUUUUUUAAACUAAUAGAUGUGGAAUUACUAUUAUCUGUGAUGAAAUAAAGUGAAAAUUGUGAUGUGGUUUUUGUAUGUGGAUGCUCAUUUAGUUGUGGUUGUAUACUGUACUUGUGCGACGCCGUGCAAAUAUAGGGGAGACUCUGUCCGUGUGAACAGUGGAUUCCCUGUAUUUGUGGCGGAUCUGACAUACUCUGGGGUCGAGGUUUUCGAAAAAAAAAAAAAAAUUGUGCACUUCCACAUUGCUUCUUUAAUCAAAUAGGGACCCCAGGGUGUGACAGAAAUGUUCAGAAAAAAAUAUUCUUCAUAGUUUUCAAUAUACUUUAAAAUUACUAAAACUUUUAAAGUAAAUGUAUUCUACUCUCCACAAAAUAACUUAUAGAAAUAUAAGGAUCUAAAAUUUAGGGUUUAAAUUGUAAAAGAUUAUAAUAUAUCUACCCCCCACAUCGCGCAGGUCACUUGUAACGACCCAGCCCACGAGCAACAAUAACUCGUUGGGCCCAAACACCAGCUCAAAAUGCUUAAGCCCAAUUAUUAUUAGUAGCGUGUAGGCCUCAUAUAAAUCGGUCGAAAUCAAUAUCCCACCCGAUGUGGGACUAUUGGGGGCGUUAUAAACUCCCGAUGUUUAGACCCUGACGUCCUCGUCGGGUCCAAACCAGAUCAUAGACAGACAGACCAGGACCAUAAUUACCAGGCGAUGUGAGAUUCUAAAGGUGGCUCCUACGGGUUCAAGAGGUGGCUCCCACCAAACUCGUUGGUGUAGCACUUUGCCCCGCAUAGCACUUAGCUCUCACACUUCCGGCUAGUAUUCGGCUCUGAUACUAAUUGCAAUGACCUGACCCGCUAGCAAUAAAAACUCGUUAGGCCAAACCACCGACCCAAAAUGCUUAAACCCCGUUAUUAUUACUAGUGUCUAAGUCUCUUAUAUACCCAAUCACAUUCCCAUGCAUAUCCGAUGUGGGAUUAUUGGGGUGUGGGGUGUGACAUCACUACACUAGUAUUAGAUGUAUUCAAUAAUAUUAAAGAAUUAUAUAGGCUAAAUUACACUUUUGGUCCUCAAACUACGAGGAACAUGACACUUUAGUCCUCAAAUUUAAUUUGUUCCAAUUUCUAGUUCAAACUAUAAAAUGCAUAACACUUUAGUUUUUGAACUUUUUUAAUUGUUAUAAUCAAGUUUUGCAACAUUGUUUUUUUUUUGGAAUAAAUAUUGAUGAAUUACUAAUAUGAAAGAAUGUCAUGCCCCGGCCCAGUGGAAGCCCGCCGGCGCGUGCACAGACCCGCCGUGUACACCAACAAACACAAUGCACACAAGGUGUCUACUAAACAAGAAAUGAAUAUAUAAGUCCUAAAAAGGCUAUCAGAGCGAGUAUAAUAAAAUUACUAAGUUCUAGCAUAAAGGGAUCAACAAUAGAGAAACAAAAGUAUACAACUAAAUCCAGAAUCUAACAUAAAGCUCUAAACAAAUACAUAAUACAUCUUUCUCAAGAUACAAAAAGAAAAGAUGACAUCGGGUUCAUCUAAAAUAACUCCGUAGGGCUCUAGCUAGCUGCUAAUCCCUUGCCUCGAUCCCUAGCCACUCCCGAUGCGGAUGGCUCUGAAAAUAACCACAAAAUAGAGGGUGUGAGAACUAUCAAAAAUAGUUCCUAGUGGGCAAUUACUGAUCUCAACGAAAUGCUCCACUAGGCUAACAUAAGCAUGCUGUACACGUAAAUUAAUCAACAGAUAUGAAAGGUAGGUAUUUAAACAUGUUCAUCAUAGUCAUGCUUCUACUAAACAAAUACAAUAAUGUAUAUGAGGUUCUAAUGUCAUUUGAUCAACUAGAUAUCAAUGUCGGUUUACAAGCAUAAUCCAUUGUAUACUAAUUUUUAUGCAUGUCCACUAUGUUCAUUACAAUGAAGGAUGAUACUUUUCAUUACUAUUCUAACGAUACAAUAUGCCAAUCCACAAAGGUGUAAUCUACUACUACUAGGAUGUCAAUGCCAAGAAUGACUAACAUAAGCUCACAUUAUGCACUAUCAUGCAUAUCUACAAAUCCAACUAGGAUGCAAUGCACUCUCUAGUAGUAGUCUUCUCAUUACACUUUUGGUUUCAUAGUUCAAUUCUCGUCAUGGAUCUACAUAUGUGUAGUCCGGCUUGUGUCGUGCCAAAAAUGGCCCCGUGGUAGUCAAUAUCCCCACUCUAGGAAUAAACCUCCCCCGCGGCAUUUCAUUUUGGCGGCCGAAUCCCGCACGGACGAGCUUGUGUCGCGUAGGCUAUCUCCGGAGUGCCGGCUUGUAGGGAGCGACCCUCACAAGCAUGUGCAAAUGAGCACAAAGGCAAGUAAGUAUGAUCAAUAGCAUCCAGCUCUCGGUCAUCAUGUCUAAAACAUGGAAUAUGUAACACGACCCCAAAGGUCCAAGUAUAGUAUCAAGUGUCAAGGUUAUCAUUUACUAACCCGAAUGUCACUACAUGAUGUUUACAAUUACUAUGUCAAGUAAGAGUCUCUAGUUCAUAUUGACAUAACACAUGUCAUUAUCCUAUCUAGGAUAGUUCACUAUUGUUCAAGUCUCAAUGAAAGUUCACACUUAGUCUAUUCCUCUAUAGCUAAGGUAGUCACUUUCUUAUGGUGUAUGCAUAGUUACCACAAAUUAUUCACUCUCAUGAUGCAAGCCAUGCACAUAUAUCUUUCUACCCAUGCCUCCACCUUAUAGAGUAAUAACAAUCAUGCGAAUGCUCUCAUUCAAUAAUGCCACAUGCAUAUAUAUAUAUUCAACUAGAAUGAAUGUUCCAAACUUAGCUUCUUAUGGAUCUUAUAUGUACUAUGUCACCCUGUCACAACUACUUGUCUACAACAAGUGUGGUAUACCAUGCAAAUAUUUGCUAAGUCUCAUUCAUGCACAAGUCCAAGUCAUGUAGAUAUGCCAUUAAACUCAAGGUUAACACCUUGUUAAUUACUAGGUUUCAAAGCCCUAUUUCUUGUCUACACAAGUAUCUUGUUUAACAUGUAAGAUGAUCACUUACUAAACCCAUAAGUCGAGAUCCCCCAAGGGUCACACCGUCAAUCAAGCUCUAACAUGCUUUCUAAUGUUGUAUAAAAGAGAAUUCACCCACUAGAGCUAUCAUGCACAAGUUCACAUAAAAGCCUCUACUACAUAGAGCAUCAAUUAACUUUACAUAGCAUAUAUGAUGUGUUCUCAUAAAUUCUAGCAUGUCAUUUUGAGCAUGAAAAAGCAUUUAAUUGGAUCUUAAAACCAAAUAAGGGGUUUAGGGGGGAGUUCACCCAUUUCGAUGAGAUCAAACCCAUCAGAAACACUUCGAACUCUUUCGUUUCGCCGAACGAAGUUGUCCACUAUACUCCUAGCACCCUCAAGAUAGUAAAAAGGAGAGUUAAACGAACGCUACGAACAAUCCCCCUCCAAUUUCAAAAGGAGGUUAGGGCACUUCAAAUCUACCCCAACGAGUUAUUCUACACCUAUCAAUUCCAACUGAAAAGUCUCAAAUCAAGAAACCCCAAAAUAAACCCUAGUUUUUUCAAAACUAGGUUUCAUCUCAAAAACUCUACUAAAACAAGAUCUAAAGAGAAGAUCUAAGAUACUAACCUCUCAAGAAGCUCCAAUCUAAGCUUGGAAUGAGCUAAGGUUGAAGAUUGAUCCUCUAGAAAGUUCCUCUCCUCAAACCAAGGCUUCUCCAAAGGUGAGAGAGUCACCAAGAUGCAAAGGAAGCGAAGGAGGAAGAUCAAACUUCCAAAAAAAAAUCCCAACAAAAGAAAAGGAAAACUAUCGAAAAAAUGAAGAGGACUCACCUCUCCCCUUCUCUGGUCACAGCACAGGAACCCCUGUCCAAGGGGUGAGGGUGUAUAUAAGGUAUUACGACAAAAGCGAAAAGAUCCCUCAAAAACUGCCAGACUGCAGUUUACACUGUGUACCGGUACACGGGAAAGUGCAUCGGUACAAACCACUGUGCGCGCAAACCUAAGCCUCAGGUUGGCAGAAUAUCCCCAUUUGUACCGGUACAACCAUCGAGUUGUCACCGAUACACUUUCCGUACUGGUACAACCAUCAAGGUGUACCGGUACACAUCCCAGCAAAAUGCAACCCGAGAGCAGCCUAAGUCCAUCAUUUUGGUGACCUUAGCGCUAUUUAAAUACUACAAUUCUCGGGAUAUGAGCGAUAGGUCGAAACACGGUCGACGACCCUCCAGAAUACCUGGAAAAACUCAGAACACAGCUCAACACUCGAACCUUGCAAUUUGCUAAAGUCCAGUGUGUUACAAAGAAAUAUAGUAUAUCAAUUAUUGUUGCAAUACCGAAUAGAAUACUAUUACAACUUGGAAAAUUCAAGAACUAAAACAUUACAUAUCUUAUAGUUUGAAUCAGAAAUUGCAACUAAAUACGAAAGUGUAACAUGCAUCAUAAUUUGAGCCAUAAAUUAUAACAAAUUAAUGUUUGAGGACUAGGGUGUCACCCACUUCAUUGUUUGAGACUGAAAGUAUAAUUUAUCUAAUUAUAUAUUAAAAUUUAAAUUUUGAACAAUAACUUAUAAAAAUCAAAUAAUAAAUUUUUUAGUUUAGUUGAUUUUUGGAACUACUUAAUGUCUAAGUAGUAAUUUUUUUAAACUUAUACUUUUUGCAUAUAAGACUUCUAAAAAUAAGAUAUAUCAAAUUAAAUUUGAAUUCUAAAAUAUUGCAUAUCAAAUAUUUUUUGUAGUUCAUAUAUAUUAUAUAUAUAUAUAUAUAUAUAUAUAUAAUAUAUAUAUAUAUAAUAUAUAUACUGUAGUGUAUUAUUAUGUAUCGAGCUAGGCUGGUAUACUAUUGGUAGCACGGAGGCCUCCGUGCUACCAAGUUGUUAUCAAUGAUGCCGCUUCCAAAUUGGCGAUCGGCUCCAUUAGACUUAAUCUACACUAUUGAAAGUAUUUGAAAACUAAAUUUCAUAAUUUUUCGAUAUCAUUUACCCAUCAAACGAGUAGUCCAAAAAUAAAUGGCUGAAAAUAAAAAUCUCAUAAAAAAUGAUGAUAAAAGACUUGAAUUUAAGAUCAGAGGUAUUGAUCUUACUCUAAAUAGUAAAAAGAAUUUUCUAUAAAACUUUUAUCAGAUUUGGAUUGUUUUACACCGUUAAAUUCACAAAUGCAUCACAUCUGCUAUUAAAAUUGUCAAUUUUGAGACCUUUUGAUCACUAACCAAAUGAUGUCGAAAAAUUAUGAAAUUUAGUUUCCAAAUAUUUUUAAUAGUGUAGAUCAAGUCUAACGGAGCCGAUCAUUGAUUUGGAAGCCGCAUUAUUGAAAACAACUUGGUAGCACGAAGGCCUCCGUGCUACCGAUAGUAUACCAGCCUAGCUCUAUAUAUACAUAUAUAUAGAAGUACACCAGUUGCAUGCAGUAAUAUUUUUCAGAUGCUGACAACAUCGACGUUACUAUAUUUAGUAGUGGUCGGAGAAGUGUUACUAAAAUUAUUAUCUUCUCCAACGGUUGUAUAAACUAUCGGCAAAGAUUUUUAGCGACAGAGAUCUAACAACGAUUAUAAAACUUUUCCCGACGGUUUUACAAAUGUUGGAAAACAUUUUUCCAGCAGUUCUAGACACUUUUUCUAGCGGUUUUGACCACUUCUAAAACCUAAUUUUUUGUAGUGAUCGCGGUGUCCCUUUUUUAUUUUAUUUUUUUGUCCAAGGACGAGAGACAGAUGCGCAUUGGCAAGCGCACGCCGCGAGUCCCAGUACGAUGUGAGUUGGACACGGAUACAGUGUUGAAUUGUAUAGAGUCAUGUUUAGAAUCGAUACUACAGUAAAAAGUUGAAAGUUUGAAAUUUUUAAAUUUUAAGUAUCGGUGCUUGAAGUUUGAAUACCAGUACUAAAGAGUACCUAAAAAAUUCCUCAGUAGUUCCUCAUAACCAAAAGCGUCGAAAACCUAAUUUUUGUAUUGAGUAUCGGUAUUAAAGUUUUGGAAAAGUUUUAGUACCAGUACCCCAAGCUGAGUAUUGGUACUCAAUUUCACGUCGGAUUGGAUAUAUUAAAUUUGACUACAGUUUGAUCUAAUCUUGUUCCUUAAGAUUAGAGAAAGUCUAGAAAUACUUUGGGAAGGAUUUUUAAGAGGAUAUCGACAGAUAGAAAUAAAUCGGGGACUUAGAUAGAUGGCUUAGAUCGUUUUCUACUAAAAUUAAGGUUUUAGAGUUAUAAACUUUUGUAAUUCAUGUUUUAAAGUAUAGGAGAUUUCUCAAUAAGAGAGUUUUAUUGUAGAUACCCUAAUUUAGAGAAAAACAUUGUCACGCCCCGGGGUCCCCUUUUAGUUUGAAACACAGCGGAAAAGUGUUUAAAUUUUUUUUGAAAACCUGACCCCAGAGUAUGCUAGAUCCGCCACAAAUACAGGGAAUCCACCGUUCACACGGACAGAGUCUCCCCUGUAUUUGCACGGCGUCGCACAAGUACAAAAGUGCAAACAGUAUACAACCACGACUAAAUGAAUAUACAGAUAGCUAUACAUUCAUACAUUCACCAUUCACACCGUAGUUUUACAUUCGAUGUUUAAACAAAAGUCCACGAAAAACCUUUUGAAAACUGUUCCAUACGCGAAAACUUUUAUCUUUUAUAAAAGCUACCACGAGGGGUAGAAAACCUUUUAUUUUACCAAAUCCAGAAAUCCUUUUAUUACAUUCAUGAAAGUCCACAUAUUCCAAUGUAAUAAAAAUACUGAACCAUAUAAACUGACUAAGCUAUAACAACAGAAUAUGUAGGAUAAAACUAUCCGCGAUACGUCUGCGGUCAGAACUCUAUCGACCGCUACGAACGUACCCGACGUCUCGUCCCAAAACUCAAUGCCUGCAAUACCUGAAAAUGGUGGGGGAGGUGAGAACAUGUAAACAUUGUCUCCUCUCCCAGUGGGUACUGCAAGCCGAUGAAGGCGAGGAGUACUCACGCGAUCAGGAAGAGCUAAACAACAGUACGGGUCAGUAGAAAAUACAGUAGCAAUUUAUAUGAAUGAAGAGACAUAUUAUAUGAAAGAAAGUAACAACUACCGGCUACUGCAAUGAACAACUGAGUGUAUACAUGUAACACAGACUAUAGUACAAGACAAUGUAAGGAAAGAAUACAAGUAUGUAUGCAUCAACCACUACAUAGCUAUAUACCAACACCGGACAAGUAGUCCAACAGUACCCAAUCUAAACCCGCGUGUCGGUCUAGAGGAUCUCAGGCAAAAGCCACAACCUGCUCGGCACCUGGCAUGUAACUCUAGCCCAAAAGAGAACACCGCUGGGCUCACGGGUCGGAUGUACGACCACUUUUCCGGAAAAGAACACCCCCUGCGGUGGAUCAGAGCCGCGGUGUAGUGAAAUGCACGUCGAGCUGUGGCGAUCAAUGACAGAUACGACAAUAGCCAAACGUUGGCAACCAGCCGACAAUCACCGCCCCUCGGGGCAAACGACCAAUAGGUCAUCGAACUAUAUAGAAGCAGCAAGAACCGACUAUCAGGUCAACUAAGGGGGGAACCACUCAACAUCCUACGAAGGUAUACAGCACUGACUACUAAUGUCAACUAGCAUAUAUGCACGACAACGCAACGAAUAGGUCACCAAGAGUAUAUCAAUAGAAUCCGAAUUACCGUCGGCCACUAGCCAACAAUCAACCCCUCAGGGUACAUUCCGACCUCAUUAGGUCAUCAAACGACAGGACCUCACGAAGCUGACUGACUAGAUCACAAAUAUGCAAAUAGUGGAACUGUGUAAAACAAUAAUCAUCCCGUCGGUGCUAACCGACAAUCCCACGCCCUUAGGGUAUACCGACCUCAAGGGUCAUCAAACGAUGUACGAGAACGCGGCUAAUCAGGUACCGAAAUGAUAAGCGAGAACCGACCAACCAGGUCACAGAUACGGAAUGCAAUAUACCAACCAACUAGAUCAAACAGAUACGCAUAUUAGAUAGAACUGCUGCUACUCCUACUCGAAUACUAACAUGCAAACAACGAGUAGAGUAUAACGAUAAACAAGGGUGCAAAGGCUCAAUAUACUAUGGAUAGUAAUAAACUAGAAGAGUAAGGGUAAGAAACCAUCACCAAGCGUGCACUACUGUACCGACUCGGAUCGAGACCCCUGUACAACUGCGCCUGUCUCCUGACUGCAAAAGACGUCAACGGCACCUAAGGAGGUCACCGGGUUAGUGUCCUAACCCACAGCUAAUAACCACUAAAUCCACAACCUACAGCAAACCCAUGGGAGAUCGGUUUCCCAACGCGAUCGCCGUAAUACGCCGGAAGUCCCGUAAUCGCACGGGGACUCCGUCGGGAGCCACGAACUGUCCCGCGAACAUACCGACUCGAGCUACGAGUCACCUGCUGCCACUAAACAUAAUAUUCGUGCAUCAUGGCAGCGAACACAACUCCUCGUGUCGAAACAAUUAUCGUCGAUAAUCGUUUCGAUUCGGGUUCCCGGAAGUGUCUAAUUCGACACCGGAACCCGCACCGUCGCUCACACACCGUCAUUUCCGAACUCUUCGAAAUGACGCAAGUGACCAGCCAACACAGCUCAGCGACUACGCAAAAGCUCACGAAGCACGUUGGAAUAAUUCCGACCAAAACCGCGUUCCGUCAGCGGAUUUUGCGACAAACGCCCGAAAAUACAUUUUCGAGCUAUCGCAACAGGUGCCGGGGCCUUGGACAAUCAGUCCAGAGAUCACCCUCAGCCCAAACAUGCUGCCAACAGCAUCUACAACGAAGCAGAAAUCCUCAAAGCCCAUACCGAUACAUGAAAUCGCAUCAUUUCAUGUGAUUUCUAGGCUUUUCUGGACCGUGCACGCAAACCAGAGGUCGAUUAAUCCGACCGUCACACUCACUGACAGGUUUCAGCAUGUCGAAGGCCGUGCUCACCUUUCGGAGCACUGCCAGCCACUGCGGUGCGCGCACGAGCGACGCGAAGUUCUGUUAAACUGCGCGCACAGCGCGAAGUUCGCGACUAACUCACUAACCAGGGCAUCUUUGCCGCUGUCGGAGGUGAGCACGAUGUUCAGCACGAGGUAAGGAUCAUCGUGCUCACUUCCCGGAUUAUUGGAGUGUCCUCGGACCACCAGAAAGGUGACCGGAACCCUAAACUACAGUGCUAGAACAUACAACAAUAGCAUACCGGAGUGCAGGGAGCUAGGGUUGGCCGCCGGCUGGCGGGAGGCGGGCCGUCCGGCCGGAGGAGGGAGCAGUCGGUCCGCGAGGUCCGGGGAGGGUGCUGGCCGGCGACGGGCGGCAACCGAUGGCGGGGCGGCUGAGAUCCACUCCCCCAACUCCCUCUCGGGUUCGAGCUUCCCGGCGGCGCGGCGGCGGCCGGAGGAGGUCGGGGUGGCUACGGUGCGGCGCCGGAGGCCGAGGGGAAGGCGAUGCACCCCACGGUGGGCGGCGGCGGCGCUUGGAAGCCGAGCGGGCCCGACCUCGGCCCGCACGUGUCUGGGCGGCCACAGGAGGUUCCAGCGGCGGCCGGCGGCGUGCGGGGACGGCGGGGGACGGGCGCGCCGGGUUGCCGGAGGUCGCCGGAGCCGACUGGAGGGCGGCACGGCCGAAGUAAGGCGUGGACGCAGAGUUCGAGCUGGCUCGGUCUGGGUUGACCCGAGUUGGCCGCAGGGAGCAGGGGUGGAUCCGGCGGCGCUCGGGGGUGGCCGGGGCCGGCGGGGGAGGACGCCGGAGAUGGGCCUCGGCCAGAGGAUGAUGCUCCAAGGGUGAAAGAAGCUUCCUUCGCAACUUCGGCGAAGUCGGAGGAGAGGGUGGCCGAGAGAGCAAGAGAAGAGGUCGGGGUGGCUUUUCCGGUGGCCGGGGCAGCUCGCCGGCGGCCGGGGCGUGCGCACGGGUUGGGCAGGGAGAAGGUGGGGCGGCUAGGGCUCGGUUCGGCUGAGGAGAAGGCCAAAAGCUAGGGUUUUCUCACGAAACCCUAGUGUAACUACUAUUUACAUAUGCACAUUUGCAAGAUAGUCCUCCCAGGGAUAAUAUUCUCAGUCAAGUCCCUCACAGCAUGCGUAUUUUACACAUACGCACCUCCAUGUCUGAUCUCACGCAAUUCGGCACAUAAAAUAUAGGGUCUCUUCGCGAUUUAUCCGUUUUGCCACUUUGACCCCUCAGCGAAAAUCUCGUAAUUCCCGGAGAUCCGUCCGUCGAAUUUUCGAUCCGACAGCACCAUUGCGUUCAGCACGUCGGGGGCAUCAAAACUACAAUGUUGAUUCAUCCGAUUUGGUCACGGAUUCGCGACGGAACCCAUCCGCUCUCUAAUUAAUCCAUAAAUUACACAUAUACCAAUGUGUAAACCCAACAAAACCCAUUUCGCAUCAGAAAUGGACUUCCCUACUACAAGUAGGGACCCAAAACAACCUUCACCCUACUCCAGGUCGUAAGCACGAAACACAAGGAGUUUCACAAUGCACGAAAGGCAAGGAACGAAAAUCAUCUUUUUGAUAAAACUCCUUUUUCUCGAAAACCAUGCAUCAGAUCUGAAAUCCGUCAGUGCCAUUGGUUCCAAAACAGCUGAACCGAUCGAAACGAGCUAUUGGACUGAUAUGAACGGAGUCCGAUAAGCGCCAGAAGCCAACUCUACUCUGUGGCUUCUCCGGAAAACCGGAGUUACUAUUCACUUAAGUGAAAACUAAAAGUCGCGUAUCUUCUCCAUUUUAGCUCAUUUUCGCCCGAAACUUGACGAGUGCUUAUGUAAUUAAAUUACACACNAGCCAACUCUACUCUGUGGCUUCUCCGGAAAACCGGAGUUACUAUUCACUUAAGUGAAAACUAAAAGUCGCGUAUCUUCUCCAUUUUAGCUCAUUUUCGCCCGAAACUUGACGAGUGCUUAUGUAAUUAAAUUACACACAUAAACAUCAUUAACAGAGAGUUUAGUAGCACUGUCAAAAAUCUCAGUCCUUACAAACAUGAAAAGCUCACGAGAAAGAGUUUUUGUUAUCCAAUAUAAUUCUUGUAAUUCUGUGUCGAGAGUUAUUCAAGAACACAUUGAGCCAAUCUUGCCUGUAGAAGUAGGCCGACACAUUAUUGGUUGAACCACGUAAAUCCUGUUGCUACAAGCCGAAUUCUCCAACCGUUGACCCGAUCAAAGAUCUCCUUUGGGGUGUGUGCAAGGAAUUAAUACGGCUUCACGUGAUGACCCUCGAAGUUUGCGCCCUUCGACUGAUUAAGCGAUUCGGCUGAUGAGGGAUCAGAUCAGCCGAGUUUGAAACCUUCUACUACAGAAUCGGUCCGGCUGAAUGAGCCGAAUAGGAUAUUACACAGUGUUUUGGGUCGGCUGAUGAGUCGAAUGGCCUUUAUAUAUAUUAAAACUUUAAGUCGGAAACUCGUACAAAAGAGAGUGUGCCUGUAAGGCAUACAGACUCUAGAAAUCUAACUUAAAGACUACUCCUAGAAAAUGUAGUAAAUGCAGGAAAAGAAAGAUUACAGAUAGGCUACUCCUAGAAAAGCAAGAAAAAUGCGUGGAAAUAGAAAAGUGGUCUUCUGUUCGCUGGAAAAAGACCCCUCUUCCAGGCGUUACUCACCUAUUUAUAUUACGCGCAUUGUUAUUCAGUUAUGUACACGAUCGGCCACUUCCCUAAUUUCGUGGGCCACUACAAGCCGAUCCUAACCGCUCAAACUGCUUGCGGUCAUACUGUGAUUUACUUUGUGCUCCUGGCGCACCACAUGUCAAGUUCUAGAAUCCCUGGCGAGCCGAGCGCCAAUUUUCUACGUGGCAUUUUUUAUUGGCGUUAACAAUUGCCCUCUCGGCAGCUCCCGAACAGACGGUUUAGUAGCUAACAUAAUCUCUUCCAAAGGCACGAAUUUCGAAAUCAUUAUUUCGAAUUGCCUUGUACUGUCUUUCUCUCAGCCGUCCUUUAACCUUUGACGGCCACGAUCUCCCACACAUUCCUUUUUGUCUCUUAUGCGGCAUUUAUUAAGUCAUUUAUUGCUGCCAUCUCGUCAUCAUUAAAGACGUUUUUGAAAUUCCAUCUGAUGGCUUCUUUUCCCUUUUUCACUUUUCUUGCCUUAUUCUUCUCCAAGCUUUUUUUUUUUCUUCGUCCUCGCCUGAUAAUUUCCUCUUCUUCUUUUUCGCCUUCUACUUUUACGGUUUCAACCUCAUCCUUUGAUUCUCUCCGAGAUGGCGUCACUUCCUCCUCUUCCUUCAUCUUCUUCUCUGGAUUAUACUCUCCUUUGCCAAUUCAUCGAAACAGAUCCUACUCGAUUCAUAUUAGGACCUUCAUUCAUAGACGAUCCUAUUCCUGAGGACUUCCCCUUUUCGAUUGAAGGUCUUCCUUUACUGGCUGAUGCCAUUCAUCUAUCUUCUUGGUAUGUUUCGACGACUUCGAAAUCAUUUGGGAAGAGUCUUCGAACUUGGCUGAGUGUUUCAGAAGUUUAUCUCGCCUGAUUAGAUCGUGUCGAGGCGAUGUAUGCCGAUCUCUGGCGUGAGGUUGGGAUUUACGAAGUUAUUCAGCUUUCCAGAACCGCUUCUAUAGCCGAUAACCUUCUUCUGGCUGCGGCCCUCUGUUUUUGGUCCCUUGUUUCCAAUAUCUUUCUUUUUAGAGCAGGACCUUUUACUCCUACUCUUCUUGAUGUAGCGGCGAUUGUUGGUCUACACCCUCACGGCAUUACUCUUUCGAUUGCUUAUAACCCUGAUGGCGUAACUAAUUUCGAGGCUCAUCUUAAUCUAGCCGAUCUGGCUUAUACUAAAUUUAUUCACCGGUUUGCAGGUCAAUUGCCCGCUUCUGUCACUAAGAAGGAACACACAGCCUUCCUUUUUUACUGGUUAUGUCAUAAUCGCUUCUAUACUCAUUCACAGAUGAUCAAUCGUGAUUUCGUUCCAAUUGCCAUUACUCUAGCCAACGGCGAAAGACUAGCUUUAGGCACCUAUUUCUUUCUUUUGUUUAUAGAGAGAUUUUUGAAUCUAUCACACCAUUGCCAUCAGGCGGCGUAGUUAUUAGUUCUGGAUGUGGUGUUUUGUGGUUCCUGCAGAUGUGUCUGCAAAUUUAUUUUCCUUACUUGUGCCGAACUCUCCUAAAUUUGGAUUCAGCUUCCAAUUUUGACACUUUUGGCCCAGCCCUUGAUUGUCCUGAACCAUUGACCCCAGGUCAACCGCUCGAUUUUUCUCAUUAUUUUAAAAUAUUUUAUGAGAAAAACUUUUGACUUUAUAUCAUCUAGUCCCUAUUUGGAGAACGUACUACAGGUUUGUCUUGGCUACUUGAUUUGAGGCUAUCCAAGAUCAGCUAGCCUCUUCUCGAGCCAGCGAAUAUGCCGACGUGUGGUUUUCCAUUUUAGCCACCAGAGAUUUGCAUGUCAGUUUAAAGAACCGUUCUAAAUUGACGCCAAGCAAAGAGGUGUACUCUCCUCAUUAUGUUGCGCGUCAAUUUGGUUUUGUCCAAGGACUUCCAGCUCCAGCUAAAUUCUUCACGGCCAACACUACUCGCGGCCGUCCUCCUACAAAGAGUGCAGCCGAAGUCGAUCAUAUUUCGGCUUUGGAAAAUCAUCUUCGACAAUUUUUUAAACUUGUGAGUUUCUGACCCAACCAUGCAGGAGUACUAGACUUUCGCUUCACCCGGGGCUGGGAAGCUUUUUGUCAACAACAUUUUCACUCCCUUAUGACCCCUGUUUUCGCCAAGAUUUUUCAUACAGAGGGUAUGUUACCUUUUGACUAAUACAAUUUUAUCCUCAUAUCUUUCCUUCCUUAAUUUUCCUUUAUUUUGUUUUGGCCUUUCAGGUAAAGGCCUUUACCUAUUCCUCCAGAAGAUGUUUCUGGUGAAAAUUCAGACAAAGACCCUAAGGAUUCGUCUUAUCCACCUACGGUAAACUUCACCUCUUACUGUAUUUGCUUCUUCUAUGCAACUAUUUUAUCUAAUAUGUCUUGUUUCAGCCGAUUCCUGCCUCUUGCCUCAUCGGCCCCACGUCGCGAUAAACGGCCGAUGGAGUCCGAGCAGUUGACUCAACCGCCGCAAUAGAAGCGACACAAAACUGUUGCUAUUAAAAUCCAUUCUGCCUCUCCGCCGGCACCUACUGAGGGAUUUCCGGCAAAAACUCCAUCGACUGAUAUCCCAGCCGAGGAAAAAGAGCUGGUCUAAUCGACCCCCGUCGAUCCAACUUCUACUGAGGUAACUCCUCAACCUAUUCUGAUUGAUUUUUCUUCUUAUCCUUCCUCAGCCGAAUCACCUCCACUAUCCUCUUCAAGCAAAUAGAUCCCGUCACGAAGGGUUUCCCACGCUCGCUUCACCUCAUCUUUGGAGCGAGUAAUGUCUGAUAUUGGGCGACAGGCCUGCCGUGAAGCUCGCCUUGACAAAGAACAUGAAGCAAAGAGAAGGCAAGAGUACGUAGAAAAGAUAGCUGAAGGGGAUAAAAUUAAAGAAAAGAAGAAGAAAAGCAAUCAAGUAGAGGAAGAAGGCGAAAAAUAUAAAGAGAGUGCCAAGAAUGAGAGAGAAGAACUUAGACAAAAGGAGGGAGAAGCAGAGGAAGCAGAACAGAGGACUGAAAUAGAAAUAAAGAAACAAGAAAAAGAACAGGGGAGAGAUAGUACUCGAGUGACGGUGGAUGUAAACAUUCUCGUUAAUAUUGUCCCGAUUGAGGUUUCUGCAUCAGCUACUGCAUCAACUUCUUUACCGGUAUCUGAUCCGGUGGAUCCCUUGGCCAUUUCUCUUCAAGAUUUGGCCGCCUUGAGUCUAAAAUCAAAUGAAGAAGAAAAAGACCACUCUACCACUACUUCAGUUGAAACUCAGCACAAAAUGGAUGAAUGUUUAAGAUUACAUAGUAGUGGUCUCCCCUCUUUGGCUCGGAACACAGAGCAAUUUGAACGGGUUGGAGCUCUUCUUCUUGAUCUUAUAGACCAGCCGGACAUUUCUCCCAUAGGUAAAUUCUUUACGGAAACUUUAUCAUCUCAACUCUCUUAUUUUUUGACUCGGCAACGAACUCUUUUUGCCGAGUUCUUAUCUUUGGAUCACCACUUCAACCGGAUUAACCAUUUCAAGUCGAAAAUUUCUGAAGUGGCAAUUCCAAUUACUGAUUUGGGUCAACAAGAUAAUUAUCUAGAAAACCAAGAAUCGGCUCUUCGGCAGCAUAUCUCCAAUUAGUAUACGGCCAUGUAUGAGAUUCCAAUUACUGAUUUGGGUCAACAAGAUAAUUUAAACUUUAAAUUAUUAAGUUGCAAUAGUUUAGUUUCUAAUAUUUACUCUGAUGCUUUAUUGUACUCCAUCAUGUAUGGGAUUGUAUAGGUUAAUGUAUGAUUCGAUUCACUUAGGUAGGGGAAGCCUUGCCUAUUCAGCGGGCCUGUUGCACGUUACCAAGCGGGCCCAAUUAGCGGUCUUGGGGUAUGUUAGGCAGGACUCGAGGCGCGACAACAAAGUAUUGAAGUUUUAAUUACUUAUUACAUUCCGAUCAUGUUGACAAUAGGAGGUAAGGUCCAAUAGAGGGCUAGCCUUUAGACCUUACCAAGUUGCAAAUCUCGAGUUGCCGAGGUGCGACUCUCAGGUAGCCUGUAGGACUUCACCGAUGUGAGGUGAGGUUAAGGAAAACUCAAGUAAACCAACAUAUAAAAAGCAAAGAAGGUAGACCGAACCAAGUAGCCAAGACCGUGCACGUCGCCGCAGCCCGCCUGGCUACGCUUGUUCUCAUUAUCACCCAAGCAACAAGCUUCAAGAUGAUAGAGUAAAUAAGGCACUAUUACAUGUCAUGAGUUUUUGAUGUGGGAUUAACUUACAUGUAAUAAGUUAUGGAUGGGUUCCCAGGUAAAGCCCGUUUGAUAUUGGGCCACCUAGGAAGCCCAUGGGCCAAAGGAAAGUUUUAAAUCACAUUUUAAAUAAAUAAAUGCGAACAUUCCCCUACAUGAUUUAAAACUUCAUAUAAAGAAGUAAUUAAAACAAAAGAACAAAAUAACUUAGAAAUAUGCUAGAUCUCUUAUACCAAAUAUCCAGCGAAAGUAUCUUUUGGGUUUGAACCUUCACUUAAUGCUUGUCUCAUUUGAACCUUCACUUAGUGCUUGUCUAGGCACAAUAGUGGACUACACCUUGAACCAAGGCUAGUGAAUCAGAUUUCCAUAAACCGCACACCAUGGUAUAGGUGUUUAGCUUUAAUGUGGGUGAGCGCUUUUGUGGUCGUGCACUUAUAUUGCUUCAUAUGCGUUUUAGGGAAACGCUUUCUUCCCAUAGUCGCGACCUCACGACUCCACACACAUAAUAGGUCCUUAAAAGGUGUCUACAAGAUCACACCCUGCCUCAUAGGUCUCGGAACCAUUAAGGGCAAAUUUGUUUCCUAUCCAUUUGCAGAUAUGAGCACUAUCGCCAUAUGGAUAAGAACAAAAAAGUUAGUGCUCCUCACAACUACAUGUUCGACUUGUUUCUUUCUAUUGAACCUGCAAGAGGUUGGAUUGUUGUCGUCGGUAACUUCUAUUAUGGGCUAAGCCCCAUCCCUCUCAAAGAUUAUAGGAUCACAGUUCUAAGUAAUCCCUUAGCAAGCUGCUCAGCUAAAUUCUUUACAGAUCUCACAAACUCCAAUGUAAUUACAUUCUCCUUUAUAUUCUACCAAAUAAAUUUAUGUCUUACUUUCAUAAAUCUAUUUAUUUUAGUAUCCACAUUCUCUUGGGUACAUUUAUCAAUUGUAGAUCUACAAUUACAAUAAAUGCAUACUGGUGCUACAAGUUGCUCCAUCAGUGGCAAAUCAUAAAGAAUUUUUCUAAUCCACUUAGCCUCUCCUAGAAUAUUAUCUAAAACUAUGAGUUCAAAUUCUAUAGUACUCCUAGUAAUCAAAAAUUGUUUAGUUGACUUCCAAAAGAAAGCUGCUCCUUCUAAGAGAAAUAAAUCCAGUAUUAAACUUUACAUCAGCUGCAUCACUAAUCUAAUUAGCAUCACUACAAUUCUAAUAUUGUAGGGAAACCACUGUAAUGCAAUUUAUAAGAAACAAUACCAUUAUGGUUUCUCAAAACUCUUUCAAAGGUAUUCCAAUGCUUUCUAUUUGGAUAAUUAGUAUAUCUUCUCAGUCAGUUUACAGUAUAAGCCAAAUAUAGUCUAGUAUAAUCUAUCAAAUAUCUUAAAGAUCCUAUAAUCUAUUCAUAUCUAUUUUGACCUAUUAGAUCUCCUCUAUUCUUCUUAACGUGGACAUUAGAAUCAUAUGAUGUCACUACAGAUUUAACAUCAAAAUAUGCAAACUUCUUUAAUAAUUAUUCACUACAAUGAGAUUGACUCAUAAUAAUUUCAUUCAAUUUUUUAAUUAUCUUCAUGUUGAGAAUUACAUCUGCUUGCCCAAGUUCUUUCAUAUCAAAAUUUUUAUUAAGUAGCUUCUUCACUUCACAUUUAUAUUAGUACCAAAUAUUAAAAUAUCGUCAACAUAUAAAUAUAAGAUUACCAUCAAUCCAUCAUAUUUCUUUGAAUACACACAUUCAUCAGACAUAUUCAUAUGAAAACCAUUGGACACAACUAAAGAAGCAAAUUUCAAGUGCCACUAUUUAGAAGCUUGCUUUAGUCCAUAUAGAGAUCCAGUUAAUUUGCACGCUUUACUCAUAGGGAUAAUUGCCUAUAUACCCCUCAUACGUUUGAAAAUAUCCGAUUUACCCCUACUUUUUUUUUCUUUCUAAAAUACCCCUCAUAUGUUCCACCGUUAUUACAAAAUACCCCUGCAAUUAUCUCAUGUUAAGUUAACUUGGGUUAAACGUGAGUUAAAUAUCUACCGCAGUUAAAAAUAAUUAAAAUGCCAAUUUUGCCCUUAACUUAAGGGUAAAUAAGAAAUGUUGGUGACAAUAGAGGGGUAUAUUAGAAAAGACCAAAAGUCAAAAUACUUUUUUUGCCCCUGACUUUAAGGGCAAAUAAGAAAGUCACUGAUGAUGGAAGGGUAUAUUUGAAAGGACAAAAUAGUAAUUUUACAGAGAUAACAGAGUUAAUUAACAGAUUUUAACUCUAGGGGUAUAUUAGAAAUCGGUUGGAACGUAGAAAGGAUAUUUUCAAUAUUAGCCUUCUAAGAGGGGUAAAUUAGAAAGUCGAAAACUUUUUAGGGGUAUAUAAGCAUUUGCCCCUUACUCAUAUCUCCAGCAACUAUAUAUAAAACCUUCCGGUUGCUUCAUAUAGAUCUCUUCAUCUAAAUCACCAUUUAGAAAUGUUGUUUUAAUAUCCAUUUUAUGAACUAUCAAAGUACAGACAGAAGAAAAGGCAAUUAAUACUUUAACAGAAGUAAUCCUAGCAAUAUGUGCAUACACAUCAAAGUAAUCUAUACCAGGCUAAGAGCAUCAAGGAGAAACGUUAGGCCAUGUUUUAAAAUAUUUUGAAUUACAGACUUUAAAUGACUAUUUAUAAACGCAUGCAAGAAUUACUAACAAAGUAUUAUAAAGACGAAAUUUCAGAUGAGGAUUGUGAGUCGAGGCGUGUUAGGUACUGUCCUAGAAGUGAGAUUAUCCCUCUAUGUAUAAGGCUCCGGCAAUCACCACUAGCGAUACAACGACCACGAUCAGAGUAGUGCAGUUUGAACCACAUAAACUUUCAGGGAUCGAGCAUGUAAAGGAAGAAGAGGCAGAAAGCUUAGAGUACUAGUAAAAGAAGAAGAAGAAGAAGCAAUAGAAAUAGUAGCAAUUCAGAAAGAGAACUGUACUUUAUCUCUUCUAUGCCCUCUCCUCUCUUAUAUACAGAUAGGAGCCAAUGAGAUAUGCCGCUAUUUGCUUCCAAUGGGAGGUAAGGUCCAAUGGAUUAGCCGUCUCGGUCUAGUGUCAGACCUUACUGAGGUGCAGUUCUCGGGUUGCCGAUGUGUGAUUCUUGGGUAGCCCGUAGGACUUUACCAACACGAGUUGAGGUUUAAGUUUAGGAAAACUCAGGUAAACCAAAAAAAUAAAAAAUAAAGAAGGUGGACCAAAUCAUGCAGCCAAGACCUCGCGUUCCGCCGCCCGUGCUCAUGCCGUGUGCGCAUGCGUUUGUUUUACGGAUGGCACGACUCUCAUUAAUUAUCACCUAAGCAACUAGCUUGAAGAUGAUAGAGUAAGUAAGGCACUAUUACAUGUUAUGAGUUUCCAAUGUAGGACUAUACUCACAUAUAGUAAGUUAUGCACGGGCUCCCAGGUAAAGCCUCUUUGUUGUCGGGCCACCCAAGAAGUCCAUGGACCAAAAGAAUGUUUUAAAUCACAUUUUAAAUAAAUAAAUGGUAACAAAACAUAAUAAAACCUAGAUAACUAUGUGAACUUGAACCAGAGAAUAAGUAAACUUGCGAACAAACUUAGUGGCUAACCUUUGUGAUCCAUGAAACUUAGAGUGUAAAUUAAGAUGUAAGUCGCGAUCUUUCGGAUGUGUCAUUAUAGGAGAAGCUCGAUUACCCUCGACUUCCUAUGCUGUAAAUCUUGGAAGAAGUCCACAUAUCCAAGAUUCCCUAAGCCAUAAAUCUUGGAAGAAGCUUGAUUACCUUCGACUCUCUAUGCCAUAUUUGGGAAUGCUUAUUGCCUUCGAUUCCAAGUGCCUAUUGAUUAGAGAGAUUGAAGGUCGAUUGCCCUCACGGCUCUCCAUGAGGUGUUUAUUAUGGAAAUAAAACCAAAUUAGAGAGUUGGUUAGAGAUAUAAAAUGAUUUACGAUAAUUUUAUAGGCCAAUGAGGUAUUUAUUACGAAAAGGAGACGAGAGGAACAGGGUUGGAAAAAUGCUGUUCUAGGGUUGGGUAGGAAUUGUUAUUCUCACCUCUUAACGGGUUAUCCCAAAAUAAUCCAUUAAGGUGGGAACAAUAGUUGUCACCUUAACUAUUUUUUGUUUGGGCAUAAAGGGUGGGAAAACCCCUUCCCCCAUCCCUUAUACCCAACUAAACAGAGACUUUGUACUUUCCCUUUUGAAUCUCUAUUGAAGUAGUAAUAAUUUCAUUUACGACUAUUACUCUACUAAUGUCUCUUUUGAAUUGAGUGAGUGUAGUUGCAUCUAUUAAAAAUUUAUUUCAAAUUUUCUCUCCAUUAUUGUUGUUGCUCUUCAGAACCAUUCUUCACCGGCGGGGUGUGUGAUCAUGGUAAGGACGUCGCGAGUAAGCUAGAUAUAUUGUUUACGGAUCGGUUAGGAGAGAAUAAUUUUUUUUGUUUAAGUAAGAGAGAAGUAAUAUUUUGGGUUUAAACGAAGUAUACUGAGAGAUAUUGGAAUGUAAUAGUUUUAAAUUUGUGGUUUAUUUAUUCUGAUACCUUUUUAUCCUUAUAAUAGGUUGGAAUAUAUUUCCGCUUCGUAUAAGGUUAAAAAAAAGUUUAUUUAUUCGGCAGGUAUGUCACGAAGCGAUUCGCGGGUUUUGGAAACGAGACAAUCUCAGUGUCAGCGAUGCUUU
rnacentral:lncRNA from 1 species